rnacentral:lncRNA from 1 species
UGCACAUGAUACAUAAAAUAAUAAUAAUAAUAAUAAUAAUAAUAAUAAUAAUAAUGUAUGAAUAGUAGUAGUAGUAGUAAUAAAUAAAAAGGAAUAAAAAAAAGCAUAAAUAUCAUGCCAUAAUAAAUUAACAACAAAUCGAGAAUUAGAAAAAAAAAAUAAUUAAGCUUCAAAGAGUAAAUAAAGACUAGAGAGACCUUGUUAAUUAACCUACUAAGAGAAAUAUAGUGUUAUAUAUAUAUAUAUAUAUAUAGAACUAGACUGGAAUAUUAUUAAUAACAUCAAGUUAUUGGUACUAUUAGUUUUUUAGCCAUUGGAUUGAGAAAUAUGCGGUUAGAAUGAUAUGAGCCCCAUAGGGUUGAGUGGGUGGUUGGUUGAAUAGUAUAAUUUAACAGAUAAAAAUUAUCAAAGGGUUAAAUCUAACAGUGGAAAACUCGAUAGCACCAAAUGCUUGGUGCUAUCGAUAGUAUCCCAGCCGGACUCAUAUAUAUAUAUAUCUCAUUUGGUGCUAUCGAUAGUAUCCGAGCCGAACUCAUAUAUAUAUCUCGAGAACUAUGUGUAUGUGAAUGAAUGCUUCAUCAAAGAAAAAAAUCGCAUAACAACACCAGCAUUAUAGCAAAAUCUCUAUCUAAAAGGAAAAAGAAAAGCACAAAAUAUAAUAUAAUAAAGGAUAAGAUACCCAAAAAAAAAAACACAGCACUAAUUAGAGAGGAGAUCGAUACUAGUAAGCUCACUCCAUUCAUUAAUUAGUUUAAACUUUGUUUCAUGUACAGCUAAUUAAUCUCUUCAUCUUUUUUAGGAUUAUUUUUCAAAAUAAAUUAACACAAAAAGUCGAGAGGAGAAUAAUUAAUACUAAUACUAAUUAAUAAUAAUAAGCUCGCUCACUUAAUUACUCCAUUCAUUCACUAAUAAUUCGUACUUGUUUUAUGAACAGGAACUAAUCCAUCUCUCUCUCUCUCUCUCUCUCUCUCUCUCUCUCUUAGCAAAACAAAUUAAGCAUCUGGAGAAUGGGUUAAAAUAUUGUUCAAAAACGAAGGAAAAAAAAAGAAAGGAUUUUUAAAUCAAACCACACGAAUACAUGAAACCUAACAACAAAAGCACAGCAUAAAUUAAUUAGUAGAGAGAUCAAUCGAUCGAUCGAUCGAGGAGAACACACCGAAAAGCAUAUAUAUAAUUAAGCUCACACACUUCAUUCAUUCAUGCAGUUGGAAGAGACCAUGCACCUCACCUCAUUAAUAUUUGAUGAUAAUAAUAAUAAUAAUUUAUACUCGCUGUUAUAGCUCUAAUUAAUCAAUCUCAUCAUCUCUAUCAUUCUCUUUUUUUUCUUUUUCUUUUUUUCCCACUAAAAAUUUGGUUGUGGUUGGUUGGUUGGUUGGUUAACUAAGAUCAAGAAGAGCUAAUUAAUAAGAGUAGAGAGUAGAGUAGAGUACUCUAUUAUCAGCUAGAAGUAGCCGUUGCGGCCGAGGUGGAGGAGGCCGCCGCCGCAUUUGGGGCAUGCGCCGACGCGCUUCGGCACCAUGAAGUACAUGAAGCAGGCCUUGCACCCCGCCGCGACGAGCACCGAGGUCGCGGUGGCGGUGGCGGUGGCGGAAGAAGAGGUCGCUGACGACGACGAAUCAUCGGGCGCUGCGGCGGCGGCGGCGGCGGCGGAGGCGGAGGCGUAGGAUGACGACGAUGAGGAGGAUGACGAUGAGGAUGAAGAUGCUGAGGAGCCUCCUCCUCCUCCUCCUCCUCCUCUGUAGCGGCUGUGGGCACCGGAGACGGUUGUGGAAUCGUCGUCGGAUGAGGCGGCGCCAUUGUUGUCGUCGUCGUUGUCGUCGUUGUUAACGUUGUUGUUGCCGUCGUCGUCGUCGGAGUAGGAGUAGGAGUAGGAGUAGGAGUAGGAGGAGGAGGAGGGGGAGGGGGAAGGGGAGUGGAGGAGGAGGUGGUGGUGGUGGUGGUGGUGGUGGAAAUGGCGGGGGUCUUGGGUGGUCCUGGUACCAUCUUUCCAGUUGAUGUAGUACACUUGCCCUGUCUGAAACCAUCAUAUAUACACCAAUAUAAAAACAUGAUCUUUUCCUUUGUUUUUGUAUCUCCUCUUUUAAAUUCACACACACACACACACAAACAACAACAACAACAACAACAACAACAACAAAAACAACUUGGUGAUGAUGAUAAGAUUAGAAGCUAAUUGCGACUAACUCGAGUUUGAUCUUGAAGCUUAUUUAUGUGCUUAUAUGUUUAUAUGUGAGAUGUGUGAGAGAAAAAAGAAGGAUGAGAGGAGAGAAAAUUAAGGUUUUGUAUGUAAACUGAAAUGAACAUAUAUAUAUAUAUGUAUAUGUAGUAGCUUUUCAUGGAAUGAACGAACAUGGAGGGAUCUCUUUGCCAAAAUAACCCAUUUAGAGUGAGCAAGUGGUGUAUUACUACAAUAAAGUGGAAAAAGGAAGGAUUUUGAUUGGGGAGGGAUGGUUUAAGCUACAUUUUUUUUUAUCAAUGAGCAAUGAACAUUUUAUUCUAAUAACUACAAUUAAUUUUAUAAUUAAUAAGAAACAUGUACAAAGAAUAAGGAGAGAGAGAGAGAGAGAGAGAGAAAGAGCGAAAGUAACAAGGGUGAAGGAAAAAAGAAAAAGUUGGGAUUUUGAUGGUGUGAUCCAACUCCAAAUGGCCAUUAGAGAGAUGGGGAUGCUACAUUAAUUACGAUAAUCGAUUCUGAUCAAAAUGCGACAAAAACCCACAACAAAACCCUAGAAGAAGAAGAUGAUGAUGAUGAUGAGGACGAUCGAUGAUGAAUCCAACAAAAAAAGAAAGAAAAAAAAACCCUAAAACCGGGAUUGGGGAGAUGGGGACGCGGCAUUAAUGAUCAAUGAUUGGAAAUUAAUGCAUCUAGAAAUGCUCUCCGAGGGGAGGGGAGGGGGAAGAGGAAGUAGAAGUACUACGAGCAUUAAUUAAUGCGAGAACAAUUGAUUAAAUUAAUAAAACAAACAAACAAACAAACAAACAUACAAUUAAUAAUUAGUUAGAUGAUGAACAACACCACGAACACGGUGCGCGCGUGCGUACGUACCCGCAUGUCGAGGCACUGUUCCCAGUGGAAGGGGAGGGCCGCGUCGGAGUUGAGCUCCACGGUGACGCCCCCCUCGCUCUCGUCGCUCGCCUCCUCCUCCGCCGCCGCCGCCGCCGAGCUCCGGCGCGGAUGCGGCGGCGCCGCCCCCCUCGAAUGCGGCGGCGAUCCGCGGGGCGAGGGCGCCGCGCCGAGGGAGCAGCUGCGGAGCGACGCGGCGAUCAUCUCGAUGUUUGGCCCCGUCAUCGGAGGAGGAGGGAGGAGGGAGGAGGGAGACAAAGCCGAAACCCUAAGAGAGAGAGAGAGAGAGAGAGAGAGAGAGAGAGAGGAGGGGGUGGUUAUAAAAUGAGACAAGGGUUGGGGGAGGAGGAGGAGGAGGAGGAGGAGGGGUUUUAUUAUUUAUUAUUUAUUAUUUAUUAUUAUCAUUAUCAUUUUUUUUUUAUUUUUUUAUUUUUGACUCUUAUUUUUUCGGUAAAAAUUCAUAGAGACCCAUCAACUAUAUGACUCUCUGAAACAGCCCCCUAAACUUUUUUUUAUUUUUUGAGAAUAUUAUAUGAUCCCUAUAUAUCUCUAUUCUACACAAAGACCUUUUGAAUUUUUAGUUAAAAAUUAAAAAAUUAAUAAAUUGUUGGAAAAUUGUAAUUAAGUCUUUGAAUCAGUAGAGUGUAAAUUUUGUAUUUAUUUUAUAGGAGUUCACGCAUCGUUACUUAUAUAUAUAUAUAUACAUAUUUUAUUAAUGUCCCUCUCAACUUUAAAAUUUUUUGAAUUAAUUGAUGUGGGUAAAUUCAAUAGAUUUAAUAAUCUAAAAUACGAUUUGGACGGUUAACAACUAAUAGCUAGCUAUUUAUUAACUGGAAUAAAAUGUUUAGGUCUCAAUUAACAGCUAAUACACAAUAUAAAUUAAAAAAAUUGUAGUUGAGAGGGUCCUACUCAAAAAAAAAAUGGCUAAGGGGUCUAUUUUAAAAUAGGUUCAUUUUCAUUUUCAUUUUUUUUUUGGAAAAUGGAAUUUUGGGUAUUUAAGGAAGGGGAGUUGGAAAUGCCGAGGGAAUCGCAGUGUUCCCAAAAUAUCCCCCAAAGUUUGAGAGAGAGAAAGAGAGAGGGAGAGAGAGAGAGAGAGAGAGAGAGAGAGGUGGUUUAAAAUGGAUUUUAAAUUUGAGUGAUGAUGGUACACUUACCUUAAAAGUAUUUAAAUUAAAAUAUUAAUUACGAGUCAGUAUUAUAGAUAUAAAAAUUAGGAAUAAAUUUGACUUUUUUGAAUCUCAAACAUGACAGAUGAUGAGAUAUUAAUAGAAUUUCUAUUUUUAAAACAAUUUAAUCAUUUUGAGGAAUAGAGUUCAGGGGUUCAUUUAAAACAUGGUUAGAUGCCCGUUGAGGUCAUAUUCCGAAUAAAAUAAUCUCAAGUUAUGAAUUGGUUUGUUCAAUCAAAUUAUAACAAAAGCCAACAUUCUAAUCUCUUAACCUGGUUACAGCAUUUUGCGUGGCGAUUAAGUCUAAGAGAUAAAAAAAAUUAAGUAUGUUAGGACUAAAAUAGUUUUAAGAUGGAUGGCCUUUUUGACAAGUGAGACGUCGCACUUAAACUUCAGAUUGUGAAUUACAAAUUAGACUAAUUUCGCACUUUCUCACUUGAGUACUAUGUGAUUUAAAGUGUAUCAAAUUAGUGUUCUGUGGUUUUAUUUUUAUCUUUUCGUCAGAUUUUUCGUUAAUGUUUUGUUAAACUAUUUUCAAAAAACUUCAGGUACCCCACCUAGGUUUAUCGAAUAUUCAUUUUAAUGCCCUUUAGUUUUAAUUUUAUCACUGAUUUAACGAAAAAAAUUAAUGAAAUCAAUAAUAAAAAGAUAAAAAUAAAACCACUGAGCACUAAAUUGAUACACUUUAAACCACAUGAUAGUAAUUAAAGUGAGAUAAGUGUGAAACAACAGGGAUGAUAUUUGUGUGAUUUUUUUUUUCUUCUUAUGAAAGAAAAUUCAAAAAAAAAGAUGAAAAAAAAGAGAAGAAAAUGAAGAUCCUUGUCCCAAAACAUGCUUUUGCUGCAGGGAGGGUUGCAUUAAAAGUAGAGGAGAGAUGUAGCUUUGUCCUGCAACAAAUAGAGGGGGGUCAUACAUCCCCUUCCUCCCCCCCCCCCCCCUGAAGGAAACACCAUUCCCAGAGUGCUCCAUCAAAUCCCAGGCAUUGCAUCACAAAGAAUGGAAUCUAAUCUGAAAAAUUUUGGCUGCAUCCUUUUGGAGCAAACCCUAAUGUGGGAAUCAUGUCUUGAGAUUGCCAAGCAAGAGAGCUGAGCAAUGUAUAUACAUGAAAAAUUAAAUACAUGAUGUUCUUUCCACUCUCAUACAUUUGUGGUUGUUGAGUAUGUACUUCUUCUUGCUUCGGCUUUUUGAAGAGCUUCUCAAUUUUACUAGAUUUGCGGGAUUUUGAGAAGUUUCUGUUUUAAAAAGAUAUAUACUUUUGCUGAUUCAGUGAGUUGAAUAGAUACGUUAUCCACACUGUAUUAGAGACUCAUACUGAUUCAAUGAAUCUAUUUUGCUAGCGAUACUCUUCUACUUUUUCUAUAACAUGAAGUUGUUGAAGAUAUUUUAAUCAUGAAAUUUUAGUUAUUUUUGGAUGGUUGGACCAAGCAUAGCUUGAAACUCAUGUGUGUUGGAUAAUCAUUAAAAACUCUCCUACAAAACUACUACAUGUUGAAUGUUACACUUACAACAAGGUACUAGAAAUGAUAUAGCAUGGGUAACAACCCUCUCCAAGCCCAUAGCCCCAUGUGGCUAUAGCCAACUUUGCUAGUUUGUACUAGGUUAGAUGGCCACCAGGGUUUGACCUUCUAGUGGUCAACUACCCAUAAGAGGUGAUGGAUCACAAAAUCUUAAAGAGGAUUUUUUUUUUUUUUUUUUUUUUUUUCUUUUUCUUUUUUUUUUUUUUUUUUUUUUUUUUUUUUUGGUGACAUUCAUAUCAGAUUAGGAAUAAUUUAAUACAUUAUACCCUAACACCCUAGAAAAUAUAAUAUGGAAAACUUUAGCAUCUCCACUUCAUAAACUUAGCGGAAAGGAUAGAGGGUUAUCUUAGAGGUUGAGGAUCGAUCCCUUAUAUUUCCGUAGGGUUGGUGAAAGACGGAGGUUAUCUUGGAGGUCAGGAGCCGAUUCUCUGUGUUUGCGUACUUUUGGAGAUUUAAUCUCCAGUCUUCCUUGGGCUAGGUUCCGAUUCCAACGGAAGGGUUAAGGGGCUUACGGGCCCAGUAAAAAAAAGAAAAAAUUCAUUAAAUCAAUCCUUAAGAGCCGAAAAAGUGCUGUUUCAAUAGAAUCAAUCACAAAGUUACUAACUAAUUAUACAUUGAAUUCUUCUUGAUCUAAAAUUUUUCUAAUAGCUUCCCACUGCAAUAAAAGCAAAAGCUUUAAAUUACAGCUCCCACUUUUAUAAUCCGAAUCUGACAUUGUUAAACGUUUAAUUUGUUAUUCUAAAAAGCUAUUUUAGAAGCUAAACUUGAUGAGCACUAAAUAGGAAUAUGUUAUCCUACCUGUUGCUGUUGGAAAUACUCUCUUGUCCUCACUGGAAAAUAGAAUGUUUGCAGAGUACUUUUUUAGCUUUUAUCACAUUACUGCCCCAACUUUCCUGGUGUCAACUCACAAAAAAAUGUGUUAGAGCAAAUUGCACAUCACAAUGCUUCAGUUACUCUAACCAAGUACAGCACCUUUGCUAUGUAUAUAUAUAUUUCUUUUAAAACAAGAUGAGUAAAAUGCAUGGAUAGUCCCUGUACUAAUUCUAUAUUACCACUUGGACCUCUACUUUUCACCUAAGCUUCACUUUGCUAAACUUUACUUCCUAACUAGCACAGGGGUGGGAAAAAAAAAGUCCAAAAGUUUGUUAUAAGAUAACAAUUUUGCCUCUUCAUCCAGAAAAUGACUUGUUUUAGUUUCAACCCCAGAUGGUUGAGAGGUUACUUUAUAACAAAAGUUGAUUUCUUUAAGCAUCAGGAAUAAAAAGAGCAAUGUAUGUGAAACUUUGAGAAAUAAAAGCAUUCACAAGAGAUGUCAUAUCUGAAGGAGAUUAUUCAGUUACAUCAGCAAUGCAUAUACAUCACAUAAAAGGCAGAAAAAUAAAAAAAUUGUUAUCACCUGUCAUAGCUUCAUUUUUAUUAGAUGGCUUGAACAGAAACAAAAUCAGAAACACUUAUUCAAUUACAGUUGCAUCAUGGACCUUACUGUUAUCAGCUACAUGUUUCUCAACUGAAAAAAGGGAAGCAAACACACAUGCAAAAGUCACAAUUUGCUUAAAACUGGUACCAUGCAUCGUUUUUUAAGAAGCAGAAUCGAAGUCCAUGGAAUUUUUCACAUCUUCUAUCAUCUUUUAAGCUGGCCUGUUAUAACUAUCCACAAUUCCUCAACAGGUUUCGGAUUUAUUAGCAGCUGAUGGAUAAUUUGUACAGAGAUUUAAGUGUAAAGCAGACUAUAAACUAAACUGAAAAGCACUUCAGCAAAUUCACCGAAAGUAUAUCCUUGUAAACCUCCGACAGUGAGAACUUACUUUUUGAAGAAGCUUUUCUUAGCUCACAAUAAACCCAAAACCCAAACUAUGAUAUAAUUUGAGCAGUUGUCCCUCAAAACGGUCUCGCAGCAGCUUCCAUCAUCUUCUUCAGUCUGGUCAGUCUCUCAAUCUCUUUCAAGGUCUACAAAUAUCCCAUGAAAAUAAGAAAACAGGUUCAAAGUUGAGACUAUAGCCAUGUAAUAAUUAUAAUUAAUAUUCUCAUUUUUUCCCCCCCGAAACUAUUUUGUUGUAGUAGUAGUAUUAGCAUGUUUUACCUCCAAUGCCAUGUCCUCUGUGGUGACAGAGUCUAAGUCUUCAUAGCCUUGUUUAGUGGCUAUUUCUGCGUGAAUUCAAUUGGAAUUAGUUACUAAUUUUGAAGAAACUUUUUAAGUAACAUUGUAAAUAAUCUUAAACAUAUAUACGAGGCCUAAAAAUGCAGGAAAUCCACAAAUAAAAUCAUGAUUUUCACAUUACCCUCAUGAAAUUUUAGGACCUACAUUUCACCCAAUCAACGUAUGAAAUCUGGUAGUUACUGUAUAAGCGGAUUAUUUUCAAGAUUCAAUAUUUCAGAGGGCAAGGUGAAACAAACAAAAGUAGUAGGAUUUUUCUGCAAUUUGGCCAUAAGCUAAUGAACUUUCUCUCGGCUUGUCUUUACUUUGGAGCGAGACAGUUGCAUCAGCCGUUCCGUAUCCUUCUUUCAAUUCAAUGUACCUCUGUGAAAGUUCAUCCAAUACCUGUAUGCAUAGUCAUGAAUUCAGCAUUCUGGUUAAAUAAUAGGUUGAGAAGUUUGGAAUUCAGCAAGAAUUCAAAGAAUUUUGUACAAAUCUGGCAGUGUAUCACACGAAAAAUAUACAGAUGUACCAAAUUCUUAUGCAGUGAACAAUUCCUAAAUUGUCCAUAAUUCUCAGUAAUUUUCUAGUCGCUGUUUAUAUAUAUGCGAACAACUCAAGGAAAAAAAUUAAACAAAAAUUCAUGAGCUAUGCAUAAAUUUUCUAAAAUAUGGAGAAUAUUGUGACUAUGUUUAUUAUUGGCCUGAACCAUGAUUACAGACACCUUUUCAGGUAUCUGAUCAAAACCCCUCUAAUUUUUUAUUUCUCGGGAGAUGAAUAUUGAUAUACUGCAUCUUCUUGCAUUUUCUAUUUGAAGAAGACCGAGCAAUAUAAUCACUUAAAAGCAAAACAUGAAAGAAGUGAAAUGGUUUCCAUCCUUCAUACAUCAAACUCUCUAGUAAAAACAAGAAAGUAGUUAGGGCUCAUAAUUGGACAUCAGGAAAAUUGAGUUAACCUUCAAAAAGGAAUCAGAAUUCGAAGUGUCUAGUGUAGUCUCUGAAGGUGAUGAAGCCCCAGCAUUCACUGCCUCGUUUGCUAAUAAUUCUAUAGGAACAUCUAUCCAAAUCAAGAUGCCAUAUCUCAACAGAGCCCUUGAAAUUUAGCAACUUAGAUGUUAAGUACUAGGAAUAUGGGAAAACUGAAAAAACAUGAUAGAUAUAAAAAAUAUAACAAUGAAAGGAAAGGCCAAAAUUACAGAUUAGUUGAGCUCUCGACAGCACCAUCCCCAGCGCAAACCAGCAAACGACCCAUUGAUGACAAUUGCUUUAGCACUUCAGUCUACAAAGAAUUGUGCAAUUAAGACUAGAGUCAUAGAAUUGUACGAGGAAAAAAAGAGUGCCUUCUAAUUAUGGAGAGGCACUUUAGUAUAUCUAAGGCUACAUAUUUAAAAAAUAAAUUAUUGGAAGGUCAUAUAAAAAAAUUCAUUAUGUAUAUAUAUACACCGAAAUAGAAAAAGUUAUGAAAUUACAAGAACACCUCAGAGUCACGAAAACCAUUUUCAUCUGAUUCUCGCAAUAACUUAGCAGAAGACUCGCCGCCACAAGCUUGCUCCACCAAACUAUCACUACUUGCCAAAAACACAAUUAAACAAAAAAAAGAAAAUUCAAACAUUUGGCUAAAAGCCAUAGAAACUUUUUAUUCUGCAAGGAAGAAAGUGAAGACCUGUCAAAGUAGUAAUAUCUCAAUGCAUCGGCCAGAAGCUUGCCCACACCGGUUUUCAUGGCGCAGUUCAUCCCUUUAUAUCACAAAUUAACGGGGCUAAGAUCAUUACAUGCCUUUUUCCACAUCAAAUUUUGCAUGACUGUGUGCAAGUGUAGGCUCAUGCAAGGUACCCUUAGGUGGUUUCCAUUUGAUCCCCAGAUUUUUAAUUGUUACAAUUGAGUUUUUAACCUUUACAUAACUAAUCCAUCGCAUCAUUUCCACAAAAUCAAAGUUAGGGACUCAAAUUCAAUUGAAACAAAUAAAAACCUAAAAUCUGGCGACCAAACUGACGCCGCAGAAAAAAGGUUGAGGACCUUUGUGAAAUUGAACCUAAUAAAAAAUACAAGAAACUAAGCUUACCAACAAGAAAUAUGGAUGUCCCCUUCAAGUCAGAGGAGAUCUCGGUUGCCUUCUUCUGCAUCCAUAUGGUUACUAAAGAUAUGGUACACUCAAUGGAUUGCAUUGGAUAUUUAGGCACGAACAUGCGAAAUGCGUACAAAUGGUUUCAUCAUGCUAAGACACUGGAUGUCUUACCUUUACCACAAGAGAAGGCUCAAGCUCAGCCAGCGACAUUCUAGAACCUAUACAAUUAAUCAGUAUAUAUUAGAUUGUUGGUACAAAGUCAACUUAAAUAGAUCACUAUGAAACACAACUUUUGCUUCAUAUAUUAGUGGUAGAAAAAGAUAACUAGAUAAAACUUUGCAUAAUUAAAACUUUGUCCAAUUUACCCAAGUGCAACGCACGAAGUACUAUAUGUAAAUAAGCUGAUGCCGCCAUCUAAGCCCACCUAGAAGUGACGGUUGGAUUUAAUAUUUUGAUUAAUUCUAUGAAAAAGAGCGAGAUAAGAUGUUCCGCGUAUUUUGCUGCUACUUCUGCAAAUACACGGUAUGUCCUAAAAAUGGAAUUUAUACCAAAUCCAACAUUUUAAUUCUGCAAUUCUGCUAAUAGGAAGAUAUUGCUAUUGAUUCUUCAAAGUUCAAAUUAUCUACCCUACGGACUAAAUAUUUUUCCUCAGCAUAAUACAUAAUUUUGAAUCCUCCUUGGUUGGUAUAAAUAAAAUUUUGAAAUACCCUGUAUUUCACAAAUCACAAUCAUCAAAAGUUUUUGUUUUUUGAUUUAUAACUGGAAAAUAGAAUCAAGUUCUAUUUAAUCACAAUCAUUUACUAAAAGUGCUUGCUUGUUAAACAAUUUCUCUACUCGAAAAGCAGAAAGAGGGAAUAUUGCACUAACAAGGACAAGAGGUAUUGCUAUAAGCAAAAAAACCCUACAAUGGGCUUCUCGGUCCGGAAAAGCAAAAUCUCAACGCGAAGCUUCCCAUUUCCAUUUCCAUUUCCGUUUCUGAUUUUCAUAUUAAAAUAUUGAGAAAUUUCAGUGAAAAAGCUCUUCAGAGUAGCUUGAAUUGAACGAUUAUUUUAUGAAUUGUCCCACCCUACAACAUAACUGAUGCUACAACACCAAGUCCUCGAAUUUACACUUCCUGGUGGUAGCGGCUACACAAAAAAACCCCGAAAACCCUCGAAUUGAAACGAAACUAGGGUUCUAGUCACAACAAACUUACUCAAAACACAUAAAUCUCAAAGCUUUGAGAUCAAUAAAAGAGGAGGAGAGAGCGAGGGAUCUCACUCACCACCGGAGGAUCCAUGAUGUCGCGAGCUCCGGCGGAGUCGGGGCGGCGCGCUUUUGGGGGAGAAGAGGGAGAGGGAGCGCGGGGGAUUCGAGCGUAGGAGAGGAGAGGGAGGGGGUGAGGAAGGGGCGACGAAGCUUAGGGCUCUCAUCGCCAUUGCCACUGAGAGAGCUCUACCUCUCUCUCUCUCUCUCGCUCUCUUACUCUAAUUUCCCUCUAUCUCUAAGAUAGGGGUGAGAAAUUGCAUGUUAGUCCCUCAAACUUUAGAUAGUUGUGAGUUCUUGCAUAUCAGUCCCCCAUAGUUUGGAAUUUACAUGUCUCAAUCACACCCUGGUUUUCCUUUUCAAUUUUUUUUUUUUUUAAGUGAGAGAGAAUGAUCCUACGCAUGAUAUCUAUUUUAUUUAUUUUGUACAAAUAACUUAGCUGAAAAUACAAAAGAACUAAAUUUAUAACUUGAGAUAUCUAAUAUCAGCCAUAAAGUAUUCUACCAAUUGCGCUUAAAACGAGCGAUGGUUUACCAUAAAAGAGCUACAAAGGGGCAAUCCCAAUAGUUUACAAAAUUUAAAAAAGUAUUAAAAAUUUAAAACUUUUUGAAGUGUUUAUAAUUUGCAAAUUAAGAAAAAAUUUGAGAAUGACAAAACCUCAUGAAUUUACUGCUGUGCACAAUAAAAAAAUGGUAGGAAAACCACCUUCUUAACAGCUUGUUUACUUUUAGCUAACAAAUUACAUAACCAUGAAGUUGCCUUUAAAAACACACACACAAAAAAAAAAAAAGCUUUCUCAUUGGAAGUGAAAGUCAGGUAGGUCAGUAGGUGCGAACAAUUACAUUUGACAAAACUCAAACUCGCCGAAAUAAAUAAGAAUUGCACGGCCAAACCAAAAAUGAAAACUGCAUUGAGUUGAAUAGCUCAAAAUAGAAAUUCAAUUCCUAUUCAAAAUCGCAAAAGUCAACCGACAUGUUCGGUGAUUUCUAAUCACCCGAUAAGCGCGAUGACACAAUACAAUCCGUAACUAAUCUCUUCAAUUAUCCGCAACCAACCUCAGAUUAAAAAAGUAAAAGGAGCAACAAGGUAUCAGCGAAAAAAAAAAAACUGUUCCAUUAAGAUUUAUUUGGGAAAAUAAAAGAGAAUUGAAGAGCCAUCUCAGUGCCGUUCGAGCUUUUUCUAUAAGUCAAGGAGGAGCCGGCGGGGGUCUUCCACCACGUCCUUGAUCCGCCUCAGGAAGAAGACGGCCUCUCUGCCGUCGAUCAAUCUGUGGUCGUACGUUAAGGCGACGUACAUCAUUGGCCUCGAGACAAUGCUGCUGUCCACGACCAUCGGACGCGGGACGAUCGAAUGCAUCCCCAGAAUGGCCGACUGCGUCAAAUUUUUCCAGGGUCAAAAGUUUUGGUAUGUGAUCAGCUUUCUAAAAUGUAGAAAAGCAUUAAAAGAAACUGCAUGUAACUGCCUUAAUGUUCAGACCAUUACCUCUAAACCGGUCUGAUUAGACCUUCCAUUCCAGGAAAAGCUAGAAAUUUCAGAAAUAUAUGGUAUAAAUUCUUAAAAUUGGUUAUAGUGGGUAUUACAAUCAUAUUUCGAUUAAUCUAACAGAUGCCGGGCGUAAAAGAUGUGAUAAGAGGGGGUGAAGUGUUCGCAGAAUCGCAGUCAAAACAUUGCGCAGCUUGAAAUAUGUAGGUCAGUAGGCUUAUUCAUAUUUCGGGGGGACAAUAAGCAAAUUGUGAAAUUUUCAGGGGCUUUCAUGCAUUAUAACCCUCGAAAGAAAGGUAUUAAUAACAGAAGGACGGCCGCUUCACCUGAGGAGGGUUAAUGAUGGGUGUGCUGAGGAGGCUCCCGUAGACUCCGCCAUUAGAAAUCGUGAAUGUUCCACCAGCCAUCUCGUCGAUCGAUAUUGUCCCCUCAUUUGCCUUCUUAGCGAGGGUAUUAAUCGUCUUCUCUAUAUCCGCAAAGUUCAUUGCAUCAACAUUGCGGAGAACCGGAACCACUAAACCCUGAAAACAAAACCAUCGAACGACAUUUUAAUGGCCUUCCUAUUAUGAGAAAAAUGUUAAAAUUACAAAUCUUCUUCAGAGGCAUAGAAGUCCUAUUGGUGGAAAUUACAGUCAACUGAUGGACAAAUAUGUACAGAUUUUGGAAUGUCGCAGGGAUUAGUUUGAGAAUUAACAUAUUUGAAGGACUAAUCCGCGAUUCCUGAACAUUGUAGUGAUGCACAUGCAUUUAACCCAACAAAGAGAGGGGACUGGAAAAGCAGCUUGCCAAACCUUAGAUGUGCCCACGGCAAUGCUGAUGUCGAUAUAAUCCCUAUAGAUGAUGUCAUCACCAUCGAUGACCGCAUUGAUGACGGGCUGGUUUUGAAGGGCAGACACAGCAGCCUGUUGCAUGGACAAAAAAUAAAAAAUAAACGAGAACAAGCUUGAAGCGUCGUGAAAUAUAUCAGUUCCAUUGAAAACAUUCGCGUCGAGCAAAUUCUCAUACCUUAAUGAAACCAGACAUUAGUCCCAGCUUCACACCAUGCUUUUUGAGAAAUUCGUCUUUGUAAUCAGAACGAAGCUUCAUCAGAUUUGUCCUAAAUGAAUAAUUCAUAGUUAUAAAGAGUAGCAAAUAAUAUAUAUAUGCAGCAAAACAGUCAUGUAGCAUAUUUUCUUAAUCCGGUUCAAAUAGUAUGUCUAACAGUGUGUGAACUUGGGCCAUGUUUAGCCCAUCUGGAACUUCGCAAAAAUGUCGGCUUGAGUAGAGCUUUUUGAAGAUGCAAUAACAAACUUUGAACAGCUUCCCAUUGCAGCAGAAGCAGAAGGUUCACGUAUGAGCAAAAGCUUCGAGGGCUCGGAAACCUAUUUCAGCUUCCUACCACAACAAAAGAUCAGAUUUUCUGUUUGCCAAGUAUCUGGCUACUACUUGGAGUAGAGAAGUUGUUGCCCCAAAAGGAUGAAAAAUGAGUGCUUAGACACUUGUGUAGAGCAUAUAUUAAAUAUAGGGGGAAAAAGGUUGCUGCAGAAACCCUUACAUGUUAACUUCAUUAAAUGUAGUCAGCAUAGCAAAUGUGUUCUGAGAAUCCUUCAAACGAGUGGCAACUCGCUUUCUCAGCCUUGGCAUAGGAACCUGCAUAAUUGUUUUUAAGUUAAAACAUAAAUAAUCAUCGCGAGAAUGCUUAGUUUAUCUACCAAUUUUCUAGGGUUAAUUUAAAUGGGUGCCUCUAAAACACAUCAAAAUUUCAUGCAUACCCUAAAGGUUGAAUGUUACAGACGACCAUGUAAAGAUACAUACAUGCUCAAAAUGCCUUCUUCAAAGGGUGUUUACAAAGACCACAAAGUUCAUUUUCAGGGGGCGCUUAUGAUAUUUUCAAGUAUGGGUAAAAAUAAACACCUGUAUUAAUAAUAACCGGUAUUAUCUGACUUUUGGAGGGAAGCUAUGAAAUCACACAUGUUGGAAGGGAUACAUGUUUGAUUCUGAGGACUAUCUUUCUUUUCUCACUAUAAUAUUUAAGGAACUCAAGCAUGCAUAUCUUUACCAAUAACAAACGAAAAUAGAAAGAAACUUACUCUUCUUUCCCUUUCCUUGGGAGGAAGCUGAGGCUCCGAAGGAGAGACUUUAGGAGGUGGAGGGGAAACAGCUUUCGGCUUUUCGGUUUUCGGGGGCUCCACUUUAUCAGCUUUUUGCCCAACCUUCUCUUUCUCAGCAGGAGGAGGGGGUGGAGGGGGAGGAGCAGCUUUUUCAGCCUUCUCUUCCGAGGGGGAGACAUGUGUCUCACUGGGAGAUAUAACAGCAAUUUUAGUUCCUGGAGUCACAGUAUCACCUUCCUUUGCUGUCAACUGUAAAAGAACACAUGCAUAGAAUUAUAUCAAAAUCAACUAGUCUGCUCAGUCAAGCUCUAUAAGAGGAGACAAUAAAGAAUAUUGAAGGCGAAACCUAGAAGCAACAAAAGAAUAAGAAGCUUUUACAUAUAUUGACAAGCAUAAUAAUCAAUUUAUAUAUAUAAAUCAAUAUAUAUAUAUAUAUAUAUAUAUAUAGAGAGAGAGAGAGAGAGAGAGAGAGAGAGAGAGUAGGGUUACUGUGCUAUUAGGAGCACAGCAGCCUUGUGCUCCUAAGUUUCUAGGGUGAGAGAGAGAAGAGAAAUUGGAAAAAAACUGAAAGAGAAGAGAAAUUUGAGAUACCCAGAUUUUCCCCAAUUUCUCUUCUCUCUCUCACCCUAACCAUCCAUCAAAAUUGAUGGAUGGUUAGAAAUUUAGGAGCAUAUGAACUGUUGUACUUCUAAUAGCACAGUAGCCCUACUCUCUCUCUCUCUCUCUCUCUCUCUCUCUCUCUCUCUCUCUCUCUCUCUCUCUCUANCUCUCUCUCUCUCUCUCUCUCUCUCUCUCUCUCUCUCUCUCUAUAUAUAUAUAUAUAUAUAUAUAUCUGAAAAAUCUGAAUCAAAACUAACAUAUCUUAAGUUGGAUGAUCAUCGAAUUCAUGGAGUUGGCAUUGCAUUAGUACUAAAAAUAGAAAAAGAGCGGGAAAGCACGGGCAUAUACAUAAAAAGAUAAGGCUUUAGAAGGCAUACAAAGAACCAAAAUUUUGUGGAAAUACGCAAUAGAUAAUUGGGAAGAAGCAUGUGUAAAUAUCUCAAGAACUAAAAUGGUCUCUCACCUUUUCGAUCACCCCAGCUUCAGGACUAACUACAUCGAUCGUCACCUAGAAUAAAGAUAAAAGAGAGGCAGAUGGAUAUAACCGAUAAAAGUGGAAAAAUAUGAAUUAUAUCAUAAUAAAGUAAGAAAAUAUAGUAAAAUUUUGAAAACGUAGCAUCCGCACCUUAUCAGUCUCAAUCUGUGCUAUUGGUUCAUCAACUGCAACUCGAUCACCAGGCUCUGUUUCCAAUUUGUUAUGUUAGAACAAAUGCACAUGAGAGAGAGAGAGAGAGAGAGAGAGAGAGAGAGAGAGAGAGAGAGAAGCAGACUCUUUAAGAAGGUGGCGAGAGUUCCAUCAGUUAUAGAUUCACCCAUGAAGGGAACAACAGCCUCAACCCGAUUGCCUGCAAUCAGGAAUUGAAUUAAAACUAAAUAUACCAUUUUAACAGUUUUCUAAAAUAUUCAUGUGGAUGAGUAAGAGAGAGUGCGUCGAAGAUUUUAUUGAAGCAGCUGCCACAACUUACCACCGUCAGAAGCAAAUGACCUGCUCCAUACUUGGUAAGGAGAAGUCCUUGGAAGGAAAUCUAUGACUUUCCUGUUCAAAAAUGAAAAAAUAACAAAACAUUGCAACAGUCAUGAACCAUAGUACAAAAGUUAAAUAUGAAUAUUGAAAUUUCGACUCCAUUGCUAACCUUGUAGGUCUCAAGCACUCAGUACUACCUGAAUUAAAAUACAAAGUAGGAAUUUUCAGAUAUUAGUAGCUAUAUAAUGAAGAAACACGGAAAAAAAAAAAAGAAAUUACCUGGAAGGAUGUGGUGGCUAAACUGUCGGACAUGUUUGCAACCCCUCAAGAGAAGCAAUGUCUGUGAAACAAAAUCAGAAUAUCAAACAACCAAACUCAACUAAUUAUCAAAACAAUUCCAAAAUUUUGAAGUUUCGAAUGCAUUACUGGAAGUAACGAAUUCAACUCUACCAACAAAAGUAAAAACAAAAAGUAAGUCCACAUCGCUUGUCCAAACGGAGAUUCGAACCACGGUCUCACUUAAUAACUUGAAUCCAUCAAAUCAUCAAAUUUCUAAGCUAUGUGUAUAAUCAUUCACUUGUCAUCAAUUAUGCGCACGAAUUGCCUCGCUUCUCUAACAGCUUCUUUAGUCUAAAAAGCAGCAAUCAAGCGAUUUUGACAACAAGAACAAUAAAAUGUUUGGGUCAUUUCCCGUGAAGGAAAACUGAAAUGAGCUUUUGAGGUUUACGAGCAAAAGAUCCGAUCUCAAGCUUAUGCUCUUACCAUAGCAGAAGCUUUUAGAGGGCUUUUAAUGAUGGAAAAAGUUCUAUUGCUUCUUAGAAUUACUCAAGCUGGAUACCACAAAAUCAAUUCAUCAUCUAGUGAAAAGAAAUCAACUCCCACGUAUACGGAUUCCCAACUAUAAAGCAAAAUUGAAGCUUUAAUCGUAAAGAAGCUACAAAAUCAAAAUCCCAUGAACUAGCAACCGAUCCGCAGCUAUUCCGAACGCGAUUUCACCAUGACCGGACCCUAAUUCCUCUCAAACUAAAAUAGCAACCAAAUCACCAAACUAACCAGGUUAAAUCGCAUCAAAACAAUGGAUUAACACACAAAAUAUACACAAUAUGACCCAAAAAGGGGGGAAAUCGGAGCUUUGAUUGCUCUAAUCGGAGGAAUCAGGGAGCUUACCGUGGCAACGGGGCGCCGGGCGAGGCGAGCGAGGUUCGAGGCCAUGGCGACGAGAUCUGAGAGAGAGGGGUCUCCUCCUCCUCCUCCUCCUCCUCCUCCUCCUCGUGAAGGAGCAAAGCGAUGGAUUGGAAAGGGUUCGAGAGAGAACCAGAGAGAUCGAGAAACGGAGCGAGGGAGAGAACGGCGCGAUCCGAGGGUUUUGGAUUUGGCCUCUUUCGCCUUUUUGCCUUUUCCCUUUUCUUUUUUCUUUUUCUUUUUUUUCCUUUUCGUUUUUAUUUAUUUAUUUAUUUUUUUUUUUGAGGGGUUUUAUAUAUUGAUUUUCUUUUUUCACCGCCUCCUCCACUAUAGCAUGCUUGUUUCGUAUAUAAUAUUACAUUUCACAUAUAACGAUAGGUUGAUUAUGAUAUAUUUUCUACGAUCAUAUCUGAGAACGCAGAAAUAUAAUCUUGUUGGUGGCCGAAUUUUUCGACCUUUGACCCGGUCAAAGAUCCUCCUCGGGAAGCGCGUCGGGGUGAGAAACGGCUGCGGAUAGUGACCCUCGAAGUUUGCGACAUUCGAUUGAUCAAGCGAUUCGGCUGACGAGGAAUCGGGUCAGCCGAGUUCGAAACCUCUACAACUAGAGAUGCAAACGGAUCCGGUUUGGUGGAGCUCCCUCCCCGAUCCGCCCCAACGGGGGCAGUAAAUGGGAGAAAAUAAACGGAUUCGGGGUAGGAAACGGGAUAAGUUUUACGAUUCGAGAGGGAUUUGGGGCAGGAAACGGAAAAAAGUUUGACCCGCCCUGAAUCCGUCCCGAAUUCGNUAAAAAAUAUUUCUAAAAAAUAAUAUAUUUACAAAAAAGUUCAAAAUACAAAUAAAUUAGUACUCUCAUUUCUACUAUAUUUGAAACGUUUGAAUUUUGUUUUGAAUUGUGAUUGAUAUUUUUUUAUUUCUAUAAUUAAUAUUAUUAAAUUAUAUAUAUAAUAUUAUUAAAAAUUAUUAAUUUAUAUUUUAUAAAAUAUUAAUAAUAUUAUAAUUUUAUAAAAAAUAUUAGUUGGUGGGGCGGAUUCGGGGCGCCGGCGGGGGGCGGGUUACGAAGCGUGGUGGAUUAUGGGAUGUAUUUUUUAACCCGUCACGGAUUCGGGGCGGAAGGCGGGGCAGAUUUUUGCUAGUCGGGGUGGGAGGCGGGGCGGGUCUCCCGCCCCCAGAUCCGCCCCGUUUGCAUCCCUAUCUACAGCAAAUUUGGUUCGGCUGGAUGAGCCGAAUGAACAAAAGAAGUCAGAAAUUCAGCCAAGGAAUGAGUCGAAUGGCUAAUGCAGCAUAGGAACUGGUCGGCCUAAAGAGCCAAACACUGCCUUCUAUUGAAAGAAAACAGAGAAAGUACAGGAAAGAGGGUUUUAGUCUACAGCGGAGUGAUACCCAAAGGGCAGACAGACUUCAGGAUGCUAAGUUACAGGAACUACUCCUAGAAAAAGCAAUAAAUGCGAGAAGGAAAGAUGCAGGAAAAUAAGGGUGGUCUUUUGUGCGCAGGGGCAAAGACCAUUUUUCAGGGUACAAUAUGCCUAUUUAUAGAGUUGCCCCUGUGUUGGUUAUUGCCCUUGCACGAUCAGCCACUAUCUCUUGGUUUGUAGGACCACCUUCGGCUGAUCGGAACCGCUCGUAACCGCUUGCGGUUGCUAUAACUCCUUGAUCCAGCGCAGCUCAUGUAUCUUCUGGUGCGUCUGAUAUACUCCCGGUCCACCGUUUUAAUCGUAUCAUGGAUAUGGACCCGGCGUGCCCACUGCUCGCGCCGAAUUGGCUCAACAAACCCAAUAUAAUUUUAUCCCAGCUCCAUUUUAUUUAAAACGUCAGAUAAACUUCAAUACCAAAUCAAACCUUAACCAGUGUACAUGUCAUGUUAGCAUCAGCACUUGCACGAUUUUUGUCGCAAUUUAAUGAAUUUUUUGGGGGUGGUAUAUAAUAAUAAAUUCUAAGGUAUCGUUUGGUUCGGGAAUAAGCAAAAAGUGGCUAUUCUAGGGAUAUGUAUAAAUUGAGGUAUAAGCGGGAUUAAAUCAAUUUUAUGUUUGGAUGAAAAUUUGGUUAUUUUUAGGAAUAAAAAAAUAGCGUUUGGUUAGGUAAAAUGGAAUAAGAAUUAAAAUGGGUAGUUAUAAAUAAAAAAUAAUGAUAUUAUCCUUCUCAUUAUAUUUGAAUUUAAAUUUUUAAAUUAUAUAUAGGUUUUUUAAAAAUUUAAAAUUUUAACUGUUAAAAAUUUAAAAUUUUAUUUUACUGGGCCUUUCAAAAUUAGGCAGUUUCAUUCAUUUACCAACUAAAAUUAAAAAUGAAAAAUUAAAGAAUUAAAAAAGAAAAUCUCUAGUAGAGGAGAUGUGCCUGGUCCACAAUCCACAACUCUAGUGGGCUUGGUCCAUGUGGGAUCCCCAAGCCAAUUUCUUUUUUUUUUUAUUAUUUUUUACUUUCAAUUUUCUUAAAAUUAAAAUUUUAUCCAUGUAUUUAUCCCUUUUCCAUUAUUUUUUUGAAUUUUAUAUUUUUUUUUAUUCAUUUAAAGAAAAAUAGAUUGUUGAGUCAAACUUGGUGGGGUGCAGUUGUGGCAUGCUUCUAGGAAGUGCUUUCCAAGACAGCAUGUUAGAGUUUUCUGGUCACACUUCAAAUUUUAAUUUAUUAUUAUAAUUUUUAGUUCAAAUAUUUUGUAUUAUUAUAAUUAAAUUUUAUAAUCCAAUUUUAUUGAAUGAUUAAUACUAUAGCAUUUAAUUAUUUUAACAUCAUCAAUAAUAAUUUUUUAAUAUCACUAUCACAUCAACCACAAAUCAUUAUUUAGUAUAUCAUAUGUCUCAUAAUUAUCUUUUUAUUACCAGAGAAUUUCUUAUGAAAUAUACACAUAAGAAAAUAAUAUUUACAUACAAGCUGUUAGAAUCAGUCCCAUGGAUUCUAAUAAAAUACCUCAAUUUUCUAAAAAGUCUACAUUGGACCACAAAUCCACAAUGCAAUCUAAAAGUCAAUGUUGAAACAGUACUUCUCCCAUUAAAAAGAGAUGGCUUUCACGGGGGAGUAAUUAAGAUGCUCUCUAAAAUAAAAUUUUAGCAUAUAUAAAUCAAUCAGAAUCUUUUUAAUAUAUAUAUAUAUAUAUAUAUAUAUAUAUAUAUAUAUAUAUAGUUGAGCUGGAAUGCUAUCGGUAGUAAUCUGAUUUCGUUGCCAUCUAUUUGUUUUUGAUGAUGGAACUCUUAAAUCAACAUCACUGAUCUAAUGAUCAAAGGGUUUCAAAAUUUAUAAUUUUAAUGAUAGAUAUGAGACGUUUUCUUGUUUAACGGUAUAAAACUAUCCAAAUCAAUUGAAUUUUGGUGAAAAAAUUCUUUAAACUAUUUAGAAUAAGAUCUAUACUCUCGAUCUUGAUUACAAAAUUCCUAUCAUCAUUUUUUAGAGAAUAUUCAUUUUCAGCCGUCAUUUUUACGCCUACUUGAUGGACAAGAGAAUAAUAUCUUAAAAGUAUAAAAUUUGAUUUCUAGAUACUUCAAGUGUUGUAGAUCAUAUUCAACGGUGCCGAUCGUCGAUUUGAAGGCUCCAUCAUAAAAAAUAAAUGGGUGGCAACGGAGCCCGUUUGCAGGAUUCCAGCUCAACUCUCUCUCUCUCUCUCUCUCUAUAUAUAUAUAUAGCUCUAAUAUUAGUCAUAAAAAGCUUCUUCUAUAAUUUGACAUAAUUACAGGAGUUAUAUAGGAAUAAAAAAUCUUAUUUCAAAAUAAGAAGUAAACGAGAUAUUCCAAAUCUAUUUCAACUGCUCACAAUCAAGGCCCCCCCCUCCUUCAAGCAUUCCAUAAGAACUAGCAUGUUAUGUAUAUAAGUGAAAAAAAGAAAAGAGUUCUCAACUUUUAUGAGGUUAUGAUAAAUAAUAUACAAACACUGCUUUAAGAGAAAAAUGAAAAGAUUAACCCCCAAGCAGCUGAAUCUGAGGAAGAAGAAGAAAAAGACAGAUAAGAAGCAGGCAGAAAAUAUGUCCAUUUUUGUACACUUUUCUUGUCACAAUUCCAAGUAAGAAGGUAAACAAAUUCGAGUGUUGAUGCGUAGCUUCGUUGUUUUUCGCCGAUUCGACUAGCUAUUAUUGUGCGCGUCGCUGUUCUUCUUUGUGAGGACUUUAAACCUCCAUGCUCUCUCUCUCUUUUGCGACUUGCACUCUGAUUCCUGUGGAAGCAUGAAUGAUGAAACCAUGUGUAAUUUUGUAGAACGCGCUCAUCAUCUCUAAGCAGUGGGGUGUGGUGAGAAAUAAGAUAGUGCACCCGAGCCAAACAGACCCUUAAUCUCAAUUUAUUCGAGAAAAUAUGGAUAAAUUAAUAAAGCAAAUCUUAUAGACUCAUAUAAAAUAUUGCAGAGAAGAAGGCGAAAAAGACAAAAGAAUAUACAAAAGAAUGUGAAAAAUGUGAAAAGUGAACAUGAAUGUGAAGUUUCCUUGACUCCAUAUCCUACAGUCAGUAUGGAAAUCACAUGUUCUUUCUUGUCAAUAAAAAUAUGCUUUGAUCUUCAUCAAUUCAGAGUUUCCAUGACAGCUUGUUUGGAAUCAGUUAAGAGGAAUUGAAUUGAUUUCUAAGGACUUGGUGUUAAUUUCUAUAAUAUGACCAAAUUUCAAUCAUAGGUUAGAUUCGCGAGAAUUCAUUUGUCGUUAAUUAUAAUAUAUACGCAAGCCCCAAAAUACUACUUCUCGAAAUAGUUAUAUUAGCUUUCCGCUAAUUAACAAUGGAUGUAUUAGGAAAAGUAGAAUGAAAUUGAAUACAACUUCAAUUUCUUUCAAACAGAAACAUUCAUUUCUAAUUAGAUUGAAUUAAUUGAAUUCUGCUGAACUUCAGUCAAAUGAAUUAUAUCGAAAUCUGAUUCCAAACAUGUUAGCAGAAUUUCAGAAGAGCUCACAUCACAAUCAUCAUGUAAACACACAAAUUUUCUAAUAUAAAUGGAGCUUCGACAAUUGGAAACAUCAGCUUAAUACCUCAUCUGUCUUCAAGGUUUUCGCGCACUCCUCUUGUCGAUGAGAGUUAUCUUUUCCCUUCGCGCCGUCGGGUUUAUCUGCAUUAAUCCGCAAUCGCACAUGAUUGUCCAUUGAAGGAUUUAAUUACCAACUUGUUCAAAGAAUUCAAGGAGGAUGUUGAAGAGCUAGAGUCAUGAAAUCACAUUUGUGCUACUGAUUUAAAAUGAAAUUUUCUUUGAUUUCUCCAUAUUUGUUUAAAAAAUGAACAAGCAAAGAAAAAAAAAUUAUGAAAAGUAAAACAAAAGUUUAAAAUGUGCAAAUCUUACCUAAAGUAUGGCACAAUUUAAUUUGAUUUCUUUUUUUUUCUAUCUAACCUUAAAAAAAUUUUCUUUUUCUUAAAAAUUCUCAGAAACUUUUAUCAAAUUCUGCUAGAAUUUAACAAUUUCCAUAGAAAAACUUUAGAAAAUUCAACUUAACAGAAUAAUAUUUAAUUAGAUUACACACACACACACAAAAUCUACCAAAAAGGUAAAAAAUAGUGUUAAAUUUUGAUAGGGGCAUUACUAAAUCAAACAUUCUUUAAUAAAUUUAAAACUUUUAAUAUUUUGAUAUCCAUUUCAAAAUGCAGCAUCGUUAACUACACUGCCUACAUUACUAUCAAAUUAGUAAAAAUUACAAAAGCAUACACAUUUUCGAUUUCUAAAUUUAUUCCUUUUACCGGAUUAUAAUUACUUAAAGAGAAUUAACGAUGCGAAUUGUAUAAUAAAUCCAAUAAAAUAUUAAAAUGCAAAUAAAUGUAACGGAAAAGGUCACCAUCGUCGUUACCUUUCCCGUUCUCUGACUCGGCGGAGUCGUCGUCGUCUCCAUUACCCGAUCCCGUUAACGGCGUCGUCUUGAAGUAAAACCUGAAGCUCGGGGAUCUAGGUAGAUCGUCCUCUUCCUCCGCCGCCCCUCUCCUCCGAUGCCCCACAAACCCUAACCCUAGCCCUAACCCCGACCCUCUCCUCUCCUCUCCCUCCGCGUCCCCCUUCGUCCCUUCCGUCUCCGGCGACUCCGCCUCGCCUCCCUCAUCGGGCUCCUCGGGGAGGCGGAGGAGCUCGGCAGCGGCGACGAAGCCUCCCUUCCGACCCGAAACGUCGGCGCCCCGGGGGCGGCGCCCGCUNGCUCGUCCCGGCCCCGGCCGCGGCCGCCGCGGCGUCCUCGUCGUCCGGUUCGAGCUUGGACCGGGUGCACCCCAUGGAGAGCUUGGCCCGAGCUUCGACAGAGAGAAUGGGGGAACAGAGUGGGGUUGGAGGAGGAGGAGGAGGAGGAGGAGGAGGUUAGAGUUGGGAAUGGAAAGGGAGAGGUUAGGGUUAGGGUUAGGGUUAGGGUUAGGGUUUGGAUGAGGGGGAGGAGGAGCGGAGAUUGCGGGGGACAUCGCAAGGAGAGGUGUCGGAGGAGACGAGGGGUUCGGGAGAAAUGAACGUUGGAGUUGUUAGAAUUUGAAGAGUCUAAAAAAGAGAGACGCGGUUAUGUGGACCGGACAUGCCACGUCGUCCGUAGACCGGUUAUAUGCAACAAAUACAGCAACAACAUCAUACUAGUUUGAAAAUGGAAUAGUAGUGAGAUAUUUAAUAAUAACUUAUUCCAUAUAAUAUUUUUAAUAGAAAGUUUGAAAUAUGAAUUUUAGUAAAAUGUAUAGAACUUCUCUGAAUUAUACAGUAUUUUGAUCUACUGUUAAAUUCUUUAAAAUUUCAAUUUGUUUAAUUUAAUUUAUUCAAUGAUGCUUCAAAUUCAAAAUUUGAGUUAGUUAUUAGUGGUUUAAAGUGGCCAGCAUCCUGUCUUAUGGCGGAAUGUUAGGUUUGAUCGAGUUAUGUUCGAAAUGACAUGAGAGUGGGUUUGGCCGAGUCAUGUUCGAAAUGACAUAAAGCUGGUUGGGCCGAAUCACAGUCGAGACUAAUAAGCUCUGUAUUUUUACGCUUUAAGGGAAUUGGUUUCAUAUUUCUAAUGGUUCGAACUUUUGAAAUUAAUAGUUGGUGUCAACAAUCUAACAAGUGGUAUCAGAACCAGAGGUUUAAUUCCCACAUGCUGCAAAUUUGUACAUGUCCUUCCAUGUGGCGGGGGUCAGGUUUGGCCGAGUUAUUUACUUUAAUAAAUUUAUAGUUACAUGAAUUGAAUUUUAAAGUUAAAAAGUCAUUAGCUUAUUCAAAUUAAAUAAAUUAAAAAGUUAAGUAGUAAAGAAAUACAGUUGAGGUAAGUUUAAUACAGUUUUUCCUAAUUUUUAACUUUGUAAAAAAUUUUAGCAUUCGUGUUUUGAUAUAUUAGUAUAUUUCACCUAUGAACUGAUUUAUUUUAGUUUGAAAUAAAGGCUAAAGAUAAAGAUAUAAUUAUAUUUAUUCUAAAUAUUUGUUCACACUUAUUAUCUAUGAAAUACAAUAUACUUCUCAAGUAUAUUCAAGGAUAAAUGGAAUAAGAUAAAGUGGUCUUCUUUGUCACAAUUAUUUCAUAUUUGAAUAACAAUGUUCAAUUGGGGACCUCCGUGUAGCAUAAAACUAUAGAAAUAUUUUACUUUUAUAAUAUAAUUUCAAUAUGAAUUUACUAUAUUGUUUAGAGUAUAUUUCUCCAAAUGUUGUUGUUUUAUGACCCUGUUUGGAUGUUAGAAAUGUUAUAAAAAAUAUUAUAUAUUAAAACAAGUGUCCCACAAUAUUACCUUUCUAUAUAUUAUUAUUAUUAAUGUAUUGGUAAAUUCAUAUAGUAUUUUAAAGUGUCUGCAUAAACCAUCCAAAAAAAGCUUUUAUGCUAAGUGCCAACAUGCCAAUAUCAUAAUUAAAAAUAAAAAAGGUAGUGAGAUUCUUUUCGGCUAAAGAUCUCUCUUCCAAAGUGAGAUUCUUAUAAAGUAGUCGAAUUAAUGUCUCCAAUGUUGAUAAAAAAACAAAUCAUUAAAUGAUUGAUACUACUCAUCUUUAUUGUUCCCAAAAAAAGAAAAAAAAAAAGAAAAAAUAAGUCACCAUGUUGAAUAAAAGCUUCAAAUCAUACUCAUUUGGAACACAUAUAUAUUUGCAAUAGAAAAUUCUCCACAACAUGCAUGUAGUUCUUAGUAGUGAUCCACAUUGUAACAAAAUACAUAGCUUUAAAUAGGAGGAGACACUCUUAUGUUUAUAUAUAUAUCAAACCGAUAAUAUAUAUAGCAUUAUUGUAUCAUUCAAAAGUUGAAUUGGCUCAGUAGGAAACAAGCUCAGAAAUAUAUAUUAUCAUUUUAGUAGGUGUCGAACAUUGGCUCCGCGACCUGACCGGCGGCGGGUUCUGCCACCUUCCACACCUUGACGGACUUGUCCAGACUUCCGCUGUACACCACCCACCGCCUACGCGCUCCACCGCAGUCUUCCUCGCCUUCUUUCCCGUCGGCGGCGUCCGCCUGCACUGCCAGGCACUUCACGGGGCCGGUGUGCGCCGUCAGCACGGAGAGGCACGAAUGCGCUCCGGUCUCCUCCUCUCUUCGCCACACGCAUAUCGUCUUGUCCGCGGACCCGCUGAACAGCAGAUUGCUGCCUGCUCCUGCUGCUGCCAGGCACAAGACUGCCGCCGCGUGCCCGCGGAGCGUCCCGCAGUGCUCCAGCCUCCUCCCCCAGUCCCAGCAGUUCACGACCCCGUCCGACGACCCCGCGUACACGACGCCUGCGUCGACGUUGAUCGACAACGCCGUCACCGCGCUGUCCUGCUUCAUCAGCGUCUUCUCCGCCGCGUGACCGGUCACGCUCUCCUUCUUCGCCGUCGUCGUCUCUCGCCGCCAAACUUUGACGGUCCCGUCCGCAGAGCCCGAGAAGACGAGGCCCUUGAACGCGGCGACCACCGCGUUGACGGCGUCGUCAUGGGCGUCGAUCGAGUCGACGCACUGCGAGUCGGCGAUCCGCCAUGCCUUGAUCGUCCGGUCCCACGAGCCGGAGUAGAGCAGGGACUCGUCCUCGCUGAGGCAGAGGCAGGAGACGGCGUCCGUGUGGCGAAUCCGAACAGCGCCGCCUCGGCGGCGGCGCCGAGCGGCGGACGGGUGGAAUGAGGCCUUCAGCAGGUCCUUGAGGCGGGGAAGGGUGGAGACGCGCUUGUGCGUCGCGGGGUCCUUCGGCGACGGCGCCCACACGCGGAUUUUCCCGUCCUGGUGGCCGGAGAACACGCGGUGACCGUUGGCCGAGAGGACGAUCGCCUUCACGAGGCCGCUGCUGGACUUGAAGCCGGAGAAUUCGCGCCGGUCGCGCCACACGCGUAUGUUCUUGCUGUCGGAGCCGGUGUAGAGAAGGCCCCGCGCGCCCGCCGCGAGAGAGUAGAUGUGGCCCUCCUCUCGAACUAAGGAGCCGACGAGGCCGGUGCCCGACGGGAAGAGAUCGGCGGUGGCGGUGGCGGUGUUGGCGGAUUGCUCGUGGUGGUGCCAGGGGGAGGAGCUGAAGGGCGAGGAGGCGGCGGAGUGCUGGGUGUUGCUGCUGGCGGCGGAGGAGGUGGUGCGGUCGGAAAGGUAGCCGCCGGGGCUGGUGGCAGCGGAGGCGCUGCUGUGGCGGGACGUCGAAACGAAGUCCUCGUCGCUCGUCGACUUGAUCAGGGGGUCCGAGUGCGUCAGCGCGGAGUAUUUCGUCCCCGGUAUCGGCAGCCCGACGGCCGCGUCCGUGAACAGCGGCCGGCCGCGGCGGCUGCCGUCUUCGCGGCCGCCGAUGCUGCUUCUUUCUCUCAUCUGUUAGAUACCUAAAAUUUUCCUGCAGGUAGGUGGAAGGAAGAGAGAUGAGAGCAUGAGAUUUAAUUGAAAUUGAAAGGAAAGUUGCAUUGCAAAGGAAAUUUGAGGGAAGGCAGGAGAUGGGUGACAAAUGUGGGGAGGAGAGAGGGAGCAGGAAGUUAGUAAUAGGGAGGGAAGACCGGCCUGCCUGCCGCUCGACAAAAACGGUUUGUCAGUUCCCAUUUUGAAAUGCAGUUGGAGAGCAUUGGUUGUUGCUUUCUUUACCAUUGCAUUGCAUGGUCAACAUUACGACUAUCAUUCCAGCUCGCUGUUCGCGAGCCGGUUCGUGUACGGAUUAAAAAUGAGCUCGAGAUUCAUCACUUGCUUGAUAAAUGAGUCGAAUUCAAGUUGAAACCUAAAUACAAAGAGAAUUAUAUUUUAUAAAUUUUAAUUAUUAGAUAAGAUUCUAAUUUUCUAAUUGUCUUCUAAUUUUUUACCAAACAUGAACUAGGCUGGACUAGGCUGGAAUACUAUCAAUAGCACGAAUAGUAGACUAAGCUGGAAUACUAUCAAUAGCACCAAACUAUUGGUGGUGCUAUUAGUUUUUUAACCAUUUAAUUGAGAAAUGUGUGGUUAGGAUGAAGUGGACCCUCUAGGGUUGCCCACUAGCAAUAAUAACAUUCAUAUUCAAUAUGAGAUUAUUCACACUUCUUGCUGGUGAACUGAUUUUGAUACCAAAUGUAACGACCCAGCCCACUGGCAACAAUAACUCGUUCGGCCUAAAUAUCGGUCAAAUGUAACGACUCAGCCUACUAGGGACAAUAACUCGUUGGGCCCAACCAACGGCCCAAAAUGCUUAAAUCUAGUUAUUAUUACUAGUGUCUAAGUCUCUUAUAUACCGAAAAUCAUAUCCUCAUUCAUAUCCGAUGUGGAAUUAUUAGGGUGUGACAGUUGAGUGAGUAGUUGGUUGAAUAGUAUAAUCUAAAGGGUAAAAAUAAUCAAAGGGUUAAAUCUAAUGAUGGAAAACUCGAUAGUACCAAAUUCUUAAUGCUAUCGAUAGUAUCCCAGCCGGACUCCUAGAAACAUUAACAUAGUUUCAAACUCAAAGAUGACAAGGGCCCAGCUGAAAUGCUUUUGAAAGUAAAAUGGAGAGUUUACUUUCAUGCCGUUUUGUGCAACGGAAAAUUCAAAUUAACGAACUAUACUGGUAAACUUUUAUCUACAUUAUUUGAAUUUUUUAGAUUUCAAAUUUUAUGAUUUUAUGAUAUUAUUUGCUGAGCAUUCAAAUGGUCUUGAAAUUAAAAAAUUUUAAUUGCUAAUAUAAGGCAAGUGAUAUUCUAAAGAUUGUAAAAUUUGAAAAUUUAUGAAGUUCAAGUAGUCUAGAUUAAGUAAGACGGUGUAGGUUAUUAAUUCGGAUUUUUUUCACCGAAAAAGAUGCGAAACUAAACUCUCCCCUUUAUAUUAUAGAAGUAUUCUAGCAAAAUUCAUAUUUGUAUUAAAUAUUACUGGCAUAGCCUUGGAAUUUUUAAUCCAAUCAUUUAUAUUUUUAAAUAUUUCACUACAUUACAAUUGCAUACUAUUUCAGUAAUAUUUUUGAAUAUUUCAGUUUGUGAAUCAUUUCCAUGAAAUAACCAUUUAAUCCUAUUUCACUUAAACCAAAGAAAAAAAAUAAUUUGCUGGAAAAGUUUUUUACUUUAUAGAUAAAAAAAAAAAUCACCUGUCAAAAACGUUAAACUAAAAAAUUUAGUUAAAAGUAAAAAAAUUUAGGGAGUAAGUCGCAAAAAUUUAUAUUGUACAGGGACUAAGUCGCAAUUUUCAUCGGCAAGGGCUAAUCGGGUCUUUUACAAUGUACCUUUCGACUAUAAGCCCUUCUAGGGUUUCAUUCGCCCAUCUCUCUAUCUAGGGUUUUUCUAGGGUUCUUAUAAACCCAGCCACUUCUCGAGGUCUAAUCCACGAACUCUUCCCCCUCUCUCAAAUCUGAUCGCGAUUUCACGCAGAGCCCCAUCAUUUGAACCGGAAAUUUACGAUUUUUAGUAGUAUCUCGUCGAUUUCUUUUUUCACGCAUUAUAAUCCCUUGUUUUGCCCUCUUAUUGUAUGAUUCAUAGCGUUGUUUACUGUUUUUGGUUGUUUAUCAUUUUUUGUAGUAAAUGUUUGAGAUUAUGUUGAUUCAGAGUGAAUUUUUACUGUGAAUCAGGAAAUGGAAAAAGGGCUAGUUUUUACUGGGAGUGGUUUCAAAACUCUUAAUGUAGCAAUUUUUUUUCUGGAGAUUUUUUCUAGAUUUAUCAUCAUCUCGAUUUUUGGUGCAUUUAUCAAGUUUUAGCCUUAGGUUAUAAGGCUCAUAGGUUACUAUAUUGAUUUAGGAUUACAUUAUAUCAAUGAGAAUUGGAAAAUGGUUAUCUUUGGAUAUUGUAGUAUUAGGAGAUCCAUACGAUUUGGGAAAAAUACAACAUUUGGUAGUUUGAUGAAACUUGGUCUAAUUCUAUUAUUGUUUUCAUUUUUGGGUGGUUUGCUAUUUCCCCCCCUUCUUACAGCUUAGUACCAAAUUCUAUGAAUGAAAAUUAAUAUAGGAACUAAAUUUUUCUACACUCUAGCAAUUCCUGUGCUCUUUAUCUUUUUCCACGAUUUUGUUUAUUUGUGUGUUUUGGAUUUAUGCUAGAAUGGGUUGAUGAACAUAUUGCUAUAAUGCAGCAUCCUUUGAUGCAAUGUGCAUUUCUUUUCCACACGAGAUUUCUGACCAUUCAAGCAGAUUUCAAUAAAUUCAUUUAGAUUAUUAUGAUUCUUCAUCUGUUUGUUAAUUUUCUUAACGUAUAUUUGAUUAACUGUAAUUCGAUAGCUAGUUUUCUUUAAAUUUAUAAAUGAUGCUAUCCGAAUUGAUUUAGUUCUUCAGCAUUCAAGAUCAGUAUCAGUGUGCGAAGGAUACGGAAGGAGUUAAGAAAUAUAUCUUCCGCCUAUCAUUUUCUUUGUAGUAGUUUUUCUCUGUUCUUUGUGAUGUUUCAGAUAUGUUAGAAUGGAAUGACGAAUACAUUGCUCUGAGCGCAGCAUCUUCUGAUGCGAUGUGCGUAAACUUUCCACACGAGAUUUCUGACCAUUCAACUAUUUGAAUUUGUGUGAAUAUUGAUUUUAAAUUUCAUUUAUUGCACUCUCGAAUUCGGUAAGUUAUAUUCUGCUUCUGAGUGAAAUUUUGGUAUUUAUAUAAUCAGAGGAGGUCUCACUCUUGCUUAGAAAAGGUACGGUGAAUUCAGUAAUUGUUCUCAGAAGAAACUCAGUUAAAUUAUAUCUGUCAUGUUCAAUGUUUCUGCUCUGUUAAUAACAAAAUCUACUAUGUUCAUGAAGCAUUUACAUGCCAUAUUCCUUUCCGACGUUCCACCCGUUUCAAUUUUGUUUUAACCCUUUUCCCUAUUUUUGACGCAUUACACUUUCUGAUGCAUUACAUUGCUGUUGCCGAACAUUCUUUCAUUUAAUGCGAUUUUGGAUCCACGCGAAAUUCCUUACCUUUUAAACACUCGCUAGAUGUUUCCUUUCGAAAAGUGGUGAUGAAAACAUAGAAGUUAAAUCAAAUCAAUGUAUGAAUGUAAUCUGAUCCUCUCAUAAAUUAGUAGCAAAUUAUUGUUUCUAAAUCGCAUCUUUUCGACCUGUUUAUAUCUUCAUCCUUUGGAUUUCAUUUCUCCUUGAUCAAUUGAGUUGGCAUAUAUACUUCUCUCAACUGUUUUUGCUUUCUUUGUUUGAUAACAAAGAUGAGUUGAUUUGCUCAAGUGAGUCCAAAUAGGCUAAGUAGUAUGGGCUGGGCCUGAGCUUAUUUGCGAGCAUUUGUUUAACUGUUAAUUACGACAACGCCGAGGAGAUCUGCAGAUCUUUCCGUAAAAGGCAACUUCAACUUCGAUCGUGUCGACACAUCUCCUCAGCAUUGUCGUGGUAAACAGCGAAACUAAUGUUUCGACUCUUACUAAACCUGUUAGUGAUAGACAUGUGAAAACGAUGAGCUUUGGUUUAGUCAUUGAAACUUGAAAGUGACACAAAUAUCAAAACCAAGAUCAAUAAUUCUUUUGUUGAGAUGUCUAAAUCCUCAGUGGAUGCACUACUACAUUAGGGACCCACUUGAAUUAAUAAGAGUUAGAUUACAGAGUAAAAUAUCCUGGCGAAAAUCAAGGAAUAGGAUCAAUCUAAGAUAUUGACAUAUUUUUGUCCUAUUCUGAUUUUCAGAAACAUAAUUACAUUUAUUCCCAUUAGGGGGUGUGUUAUUUUUUUAUUUUUUAAUUUUUAGUUUUCCUUUGUGGGCCUAGAUGGGGUUUGCCUUCUGGUAUUUGAUUUAUUGUAAUUUUACUUUCAGUCGAAACUCGAAAUUCGCCAAGUUUGCAGGAAAAAAAAAAAGUAAAAAAACACAAAUAAUAAAAUAUUAACAUAUCUUCUUUUUUCUAGUUUUUAUAUUAUUUACUUUUACCAAAUAAAUAUCAGAAUUGAAAAAACUUCAGUUCUACAGCUGUAUAAAUAAAUAGUAAAAGAAAAAUAAUUUUCAACUGAACUCUUAUUCACUGAAAAGUUUAUUUCAAUUUUGAAUUUUACCUUCGGUGAAACAAUCAUGUCCUAAAUAAAACUCUUCGAAUGAGUUGCGAGCGUGCUUAUAUAAAUUUUUUUUGACAGUUUUAAAUAAGAGCUUCUGCUAUUAGCGUUCAAUAACACUUCAUUUGUUGAUAGCUUUAGAUUCUUCAUGUUUGAAGCUGUUUUAGAAGUCAAAUCAAACGCUACGGAAUUUUCUGUUUACAUAUAAUCCCUUGUUGCGUUUGAGUACGAAAAAUUUUAUAAAAAAUACUAUAUGUACUUAUCAUAUAAUGGGGUGUACUUAUCAUAUAAUGGUGUACAUUUUAUAAGACUAGUGAAAAUAGAAAUUUUUUUAUAAGACUAGUGAACUAAUCCUUUUCAUAAAAAAUUUUGGGUGUACAGGGCCUAUUGGUUUAAAGAAAAUGGAAGAAAUAAUUCUUUAAAAUUUUGAUUUUCUUAUUUAACUUCAAUUUUUUAAAUUUGAUUCACUCAACACCGCUCUGAUUUUAUGAUCUGAAUGUUUUGUUUAUUUUUACACUUCAAUGCAAUUUUUUGCGAUUAUAAAUUUAUUAAAGUAAUAAGUUUAAAAUUUGAAGGCAAAAUAUCGCGGACUAACUUAAAUUAAACAAAUUGAAAUGUUAGAUAGUAAAAUUAAUAUUUUUAAAGAUCGGACAGGAGUCAAAAUGAUCUGUAGUUUUAAUAAAUUUUCUACGUUUUUACCAAUUUUUAAUGUAAACAGAACUAUUGCGACAUGCGCAUGCAUCUUUACCUAUUGUAUUUGUAAAUAUUUUUAAUAAAUCAGCAUUUCUAUAUUGCUGUUGGAUCAAACCAAAUUUAAAAUUUUAAUCCAAUAAAUUGUUACGGCGUAGCACGAUUAACUCAUUAAGAACAUUUUACAACAUUUUGAGUUAUUUGUACAUUUGGAUUGCGGAUAAAGGGUGGAAUAAUCCUUUAUCCCUUUUAUACCCAAACGCUAGUGGAUAUCUAAAAUAAGCUAGUAUAACUAUCCCCACCAGCACCUCCAUUUUCUAUAUAUAAAUACCCACUAUUUUUCUUAUUCCAUAUUAUCUAUCUAAACACUAUUUUUCUUAUUUCCUGGAACAAUCCAAAUUUUAUCCAAACACUUUUUUUUAUCCUCAUAUUUGUAUCUAUCUCUGUAAUAGCUAGUUCUUGCUUAAUUAUACUCGAACCAAACGGUGGAAAAUGUUAAGAACAUAUAUAUACUAACUAAUCUAAAUGUUUAAAAUAUAAGCAAUCACAUUUUAUGCUUAAAUUAACAUAAAGAUUACAAACCAAAACCAACAUUAAUUUUCUCCCUUGCUCAGAGAUUUAGGGGAAAAAAAAGGUACUAAACACUACCUAGUUUUAGGAAUCUAGAUUACCUCGAAACUUUUUAAUUAAUUAACAAAAUCCUGUUUAAUAAGUAUAAGUUCAAAGUGGCAUGUGAUCAAUACUAAGAAGUGGUACUAAUUAAUAAAAAGCCUGGUUAAAGAGAAAUAAUUAACAAAUUGUCGAUUGAUCUUAAUUAAUUGAAAAUGCUGUAGUUUCUCUCUCUAGAUCUCGCUUGGUCGGUAUUUAAGACAAAAAGGAAGAGUUUAACACAAAAACCAUAAUUUAGGAUUAACCACCACAUGCAUAAUGUACAAUUCAUGAGGAGGGGCAAAGUAAUUAAUCAUAUAUAGAAGCUAAUUGUGAUGUAGGUAAGUGUUUAUUGUUAAGUUAUUUAAUUUGCACCAUUUUCUUAUGAUGAUUAGGACUUGUAUAGAGUGAAAAAAAAAAAAAAAAAAUCCUAGGUAUCAGAGCAAAGAGGUCCUGUAUAAUAGUAGCUUAAUUUUAAGGUUAUUUAGAGUAAUCGAAGCUCAAUUUCGCAUUGCAUAUCAUUCGAGUAAAGAGUUAUUUGAAAAGAGUUAAGAAUAGAAACUUCAAUUAGUUAGAGGUUUUGCAUUUGGAGUUCAGAAACCCAUUUUGGGUUCUCGCCACAACCAAAAGCUCUAGCCUAAUAAUUUCUUCUAUAAUUUGAAUUUUAACGGUCGACUCGUACUCAAAUCAAAUUAAAUUACUGUGCACUCUCUAAAAACUUUAAGCUUUUAAAAGAAAAUUAGUAAUUCAAAUUCAUUUAUGAAAGGAAUAAUAGUCCUUUAUAUAUGUAAAUAACUUGGAUUCAACUUGUAAUAUUUGGAGCUUAAUUAUGAAACCCUAAGAAGUAAUUCUAAUGCUACAAAUGGAUCUGGUAAAGUUGCAUGUCCUUCAAAAGAAUCUUCAAAAGAAUAAAGCUGCCAUUAAUUAAAGCUCUUGACAACAAAAAAUACAAAAAAAAAAAACCUUUUAAUUAAGUAAUUUGUACUAGGAUGAUUCUCACUUGGUCAUGCUAUUUAUGCUGAUGUAAAAUUGAGAAUCAUAUGUACAUACACACACACACAUAUAUAUAUAUAUAUAUAUAUAUAUAUAUAUAUAUAGACUAGGCUACUAUACUAUCGUAGCACGGAGCACUCCGUGCUACCAGUUGUUUUCGAUGAUGUGGCUUCCAAAUCGACGAUCGGCUCCGUAGAGUUGAUCUACACUAUUGAAAGUAUUUAGAAACUAAAUUUCAUAAUUUUCGAUAUCAUUUACCUAUCAAACAAGUAGUCUAAAAUUGAACGGCUGAAAAUAAAAAUCUCAUAAAAAAUGAUGAUAAAAGAUUUAAAUUCAAGAUCAGAUAUACUGAUCUUAUUCUAAAUAGUGAAAAGAAUUUUCUAUAAAAUUUUCAUCGCAUUUGGAUUGUUUUACACCGUUAAACUCACAAAACACACCACAUCGGCCAUUAAAAUUGUCAAUUUUGAGAUCUUUUGAUCAUAGUCAAAUGAUGUCGAAAAAAUUUGAAAUUUAGUUUCUAAAUACUUUCAAUAGUGUAGAUCAAGUCUAACGGAGCGGAUCGUCGAUUUGGAAGCCGCAUCAUCGAAAAUAACUUGGUAGCACGGAGCGCUCCGUGCUACCGAUGCAAUAGCCGGACUCUAUAUAUAUAUAUAUAUAUAUAUCCCUUUACCCCGAUACGACAAAGAAUAUAUAUUAGUGUUGUUCAUUAUAUAAGUACUCAAAUUCAAUCGAGAAAUUACUCAUUUUAAUUCGAUUUAAUUCUAUUAAAGUCAUCGAGAAAGAAAAGAAGCAUUCGCGCAUAUAUAUAUAUAUAAUAUAUAUUAUAUAUAUAUAUAUAUAUAUAUAUAUAUAUAUAUAUAUAUAUAUAUAUAUAGAAUAUAUAUAUAUAUGACCGUGUUUUUUCUUUUUCUUUCUUAAUAAAGUAGAACACAAAAUUAAUGUUGAAUUUUAGUAGUAAUUGUUUGAAUAGGAGAGAAAAUAUUGGGAACAUAAAAAUUUGAUCAAAUGUGAAGUGUAAGAAUUAAUAUCCUUGGUCCAUUAUCUUUGAUUAAUUAAUUUGUGUAACAUGAGUUCUAUCCAGCUAUAUAUGUAGUUAUUUUUCCUCACACUUCCAUAAAUCCUGCUAUAUACGUCUAAUUAUAGCUUUAGGAUUCAAUUAAACAAACCAAAUCUCUUAAGAAAUGAAUAGAAUUGUAUAUGAGGAGGACCUGGAAAAAGACACAAGAGAACAAAAGCAACCUAGCUUUGUAGGUUUUUGCUUUUGUCUCACAUUUGCUUUUCAUAACAGCAAAGCCUAAUUAAGCUUCAACACCAAGAAAUAUAUUAUGAAAAAAAAAAACAAAACAAAACUCACAAGGAAAAAUUAAGAUGUAUAUGUUCAUGUAUAAAUGAAAAACUACCUUGAUUUAAUUACUUUCACAUAUAUAUAUAUAUAAAUAUCUUGUAAUUAUAAGCUAGUUAAUUUGUAAGCAAACAAUGUAAAAUGAGGGUUACAAAUAAGUAAUAAGUGAUAGGUUAAUUAAUUUUGUACACACACACACACACUCAUAUAUAUGUAAAUAUAUAACUAUUUUCUUCAUUGAUCUUAAGUUUUUUAAAAUGUUAUAACAUUUAAAAUAUCACACAUAUGAGAACAUUCUUAUCAAUAUGCUUCUAAAGUUUAUUCCCCUCAAAACUGAAAUUAAUAUAUAUACAAGAGAGGCCAACAUUUAAGUGCUCAAAAUUAAUUAAGUUUUGCCCAAAAUCACAUAUAAUAUUACUUUCCAUACGUAUUGAUUAUAUAUAUAUAACACUUUACGUACCCGGCCACUUAAAAAAAAAGGGAAACCAUUUCAAAAACCAUCCCCCUGUAGUUUCUGCAUUCUUGAUUUGCCUACCGCUGUGGUUGAACGUAUCAUUUUAUCUCGCUGUGUUCAUUUUUAUUUCUUAUUCGAGCUUUCGUUAAUAGUUCGUUUAAAUUAUAUACAAAAUAACUUCAGAAACCAUCUUAUUAUCUUAUCGAAUCAUCCUUAUAACCUUUAAUUUAAACUUUGUCACCGAUUUUUAAAAAUAAUAUAAAAGAUAAAAAAGAUAAAAACUAAAGUCCACAGGCGUGGGCAAAUGAUAGUUUUAUAACACAUAAAAAAAAAAAAAUGAAAUGCAAUUGAAACGCAAGGGGUUUUGAAGUUUCCCCAAAAAAAAAACUUACAAUAGCUUUGUUAUGAGGAUAUAUAUAUAUAAGGUUAUUUAUUUUUCCUUCUGGCUCUUAUAAUUAUUACACUUACAGUACUUAUGACUCACAUAUGAAUAAGCUAGAAUGAAGCAUUCCAUUAAAAGUCUCCAUUAAUCUAUCGCGCACGUUAUACUACACUUUUAUAAAUUCAAAGAUAUGUAUAAAAUCAUUAUAUACAAGAGAGUAGCCAAAUACAAACAUAAUUAACGUGUCUAUAAAUAUACAAAAAAUACAUACGGAAUAAUAAAAAAUGAGAAAUAAAAGAACGAAAAGUUAACAUAUUCAUGAGAAGACAUCAAAUAAACGAUCUCUUAGUAUCUUAUAUAGUACUAGUUGAAUGUACGUACAUACACUGCACAGUAAUAAUUUAUAGAUUUAUUUCAAAUUAAUAUAAUUGUACAUAUUAUAUGCAAAUUUUACAAUAAAAAUAUUAUAAAUUAAUGUGUUAUAUUUUAUUAGAAAAUUAUUUAUAAUAUCCUAUAAAAGCCCGGGUCUUUUAUUAGAUACUAACCACAAUAUUAUAUACUUUUUAUUUGAUACUCAACAUUUAAAUAUGUAUUCUUAAAACUAAAAGCAUCAAAAUUUAUUUCACCAUUUUAAUUAAAACCUUAAAAUAUAAUAUUUGAUCCACUGGACAUAAAAAAAUUAAAUUAUUAUCAAAAUUUGAUAUCAAAAAUUAAAUUUACAUAUAAUCAAUAAACUCAAAUUAAUUUAAUUCUAAAAAUAGACUUAAAAAAUAACUAUUUUUUAACAAAUGAUUAAACUGUUGUUUAUAUUUGAUAUUAUAAAAAAAAAAUAUAGAUAAAUAACGAUAACAUAAAAUGAAUUUAUAGAUAAUGCAAUAAAGAUUAUAACUAUUUUUAAUAAAUAUUAACAAAAUAUAAGUCAUAUAAAAAUUAAUAAAAGAAAACAAUUUUAUAUAUUAAGUGUAGAAAUUUAAUAGAUUGACAUAACCUUCGUGUUUAUUUGACAUAUUUUUAACAAUUUAAUCAAUAAUCAUCUCGUUAUCGUGGAAUAUUAUUUUAUAUUAAUAGAUUGAUCAAACCAUUAAUUUUUAUUUGAGACAAAAUAUAAUAAAAAAUAAAAAAUGCAUUAAAAAAAAUAAAAAAGAAAUUAUUUUCCUUUUGAAUUCCGUCCGUCAUUAUCGAAUUUCUAUAAACCUUUAUAUAUAAUAGAUAAUGAAAAAUAACCGUUGUCCUCUAUAUAACACAUAUUAGAUUCCACGAAAAAAAAUAAUAACUGUGUAUUUUAAAAUAUAUAUAUAUUAUUAUAUAAUAUAUAUAUAUAGGUUGACUACGAAUACUCUCCGAGAGUAACAUGCCCAUUUUACUCCACUCGAGUUGCUUUUUCUGAUGAUCAAGCUUGGCCAAAUUGACGAUCGGGUGUCUUCCGGUUGAAACUGAUCUAUACCACUUGAAGUGUUUAAGAAAUCAAUUUCAAAUCUUUUUCACGAUUCAUCAUUUGCAUUCUCGUUUCUCUUUGGGUGUGGUGGUAGUUUCUUUGUGUCUGUCGGUAAUAAUCAAAAGGGUUCAAAAUUGAAUUUAAUGUGAUUAGUAGACCGUUUUCAUACGUUUAAAGUGUAAAUUAUCCCAAAUCAUUGAAUUUUUGUGUAGAAAAUUCUUUAAAACUAUUUAAAACAAAUCUAUACUCUUAUCUUGAAUUACAAGUACUCUAUCAUCAUUUUUUUCAAAGAAUAUUCAUUUUCAGCCGUUCAUUUUUUCUGUUACUAGAUGGAUAUAAAACAAUAUCGAAAGUAGCGUGAACAAUCUGAUUUCUUAUGAUAGUUUACAAUGUUUAGAUCAUAUUUAAACGAGGCCGAUCGUUCAAUUGGAAGCAUCUAUUCAUUCGAAACAGACUCGAGAUAAAACGACCGUUACUCCGAGAGGAUUCUAGCUCAAUCUAUAUAUAUAUAUUAUAUAAUAUAUAUAAUAUAAUAUAUAUAAAUUAAUAUAUGUAUCGACACGAGAUAAUUACUAUACUAUUUUAGGGUAUUCAAAUCAACAAUCGAUACCGUUAAAUAUAACCUAGUGUAUAUGAAGUUUUUUGAAAUAAAAUUUUAAUUUUUUUCGACAUCGUUUACUUAGUAAGUAAAUCAUUUUUUUAAAAAAGGUAUAAUAAUAGAAUGAUCUUUAAAAUUCGAGAAUAAAGCUUUUAAAUUCAUAAUUAAGGAUGUUGAUCUUGAUCUAGAUCGUUUAAAGUAUUAAAAUUUGAAUAAAUUUAUAUUCUUUUACACCGUUACAUUACAAACUCGCUAUAGUAGUCAUUAAAAAUUGAUAAUUUUGAAACAAUUUGGUCAUAAAAUAAACUAUGUCGAAAAAAAUAUAAAAUUUCAUUCCUCUCUCCUGCUUUAAUUUCUCUCUAUGUGUACAUAUAUAUGGACUAUAUAUAUAUUAUUCAAUUGGAGAGAGAGAGAGAGAGAGAGAGAGAGAGAGAGAGAGAGAGGAGGAGGAAAAGCAGGAGAAGUAAAGGCGCAGCUGGGAUCAAAAGUUGUGGAAGAAGUUAGGGUUUGGUGGUGUGCAAGGUAUGGGUGGUGAGGUGGCCAAAUAACGGCUAUAUUGGCAAGUACACAUAUGCAUGGGUUUUGCGCAGGUGUAGUGUUGGUGUUAAUUAGUGUUAGGGGAAUUAAAGUGUUGUGGGGAUCACAUGCAAAGCCCAUAUCCUGGGCUUAACUUUUUUAUUAAUAUUCCUCUCACCUUUUGCUGUAACGUAAAGCUCUUCAUCCCUCAUAUUCAUGCUAACACUAAAACCACCUGAACCUAGCUAGUUAUUUAUGUGAUCAGUAUCUAUACAUAUAUAUAUUUCCUAAUUAACAAAAAAAGAAAAGAAUAUAUAUAUAUAUACACACACACACACAUAUAUCAAAAGAUUUGCACGAAUUUUGAUGCGUUUUUCUUGGUCUAACAAACCUUUUUAUUGUUUUGUGUGAGUACUAUACUUCACCAUAUGCCACCUCACUCAUAUAAGCAAAAGGUGGAAGCUACCCCAACCUCUCCCUCUCCCUCUCCCACAUUAUAUAUAAAGGGAGUGUGAUAUCACCCUUCUCCUCAUUAUUAAGCUCCCCACUCAUCACCACCUCCCCUUUGGGAAAGGAGAGAGAGUGUUUAGGGUGUGGGAGAUUAAUUAAUCAAUUAAUUACUAAGGCUAGCUUCUUGUGUUUAGUUUGCUCUUUGGAUUUUGUUUGAGGGAGCUAGCUAGAUAUGGCUGUGUUGUCCUUGCACCACCCUUGCACCUUCACCUUUGGAAUCCUAGGUAUAUCAUUCUCCAUCGAUCGUAUGCAUAUUGCAUCAAAAUUAGUGCGAGUGAGCUGGGUCAUUAUAUUUUCACGGGCUCCUGUGCCUUUGGAGUAGUAGCUAGCUAGCUUCCUUUGAAUUGAUGAUUAGUUCUUGCUUUAAUUAUUUUUUCCUUCUUAUUUGGUUUAUGUGCUCUUAAUAAGUUGGAGAGAGAGAGAGAGAAAGAGAUGCACCUUGAUCUAGCUUGAACUACUACUAAAUUACACUAACCGAAGAAUUUAAGCUACUCUAAUUAAGUAGCUUUUGCAAGUACAAUGAUUAGAAAAUCUCAUUAAAUGUGCUCCUCUUCCUCAUAAGAUUGAUAUUAUUCUCACUUGGAAUUUGAAGCUAAUCUAUGCAUGUUUUCUCAAAAGCCAAAAAAAAAAGAGGAUACACACAUAUGUAUAUGUAUGUUUGCUUGAAUCACUUCCUCAAAUCAUAUGAAGAUAAUUAAUGCUGUAUCCUUCUCAUGCAUGAAUUGCAGGUAACAUCAUCUCAUUAAUGGUGUAUCUUGCCCCACUGUAAGAAUAUAUUCAAUUUUCUUUUUUUUACUCUUUAAUUUCCAUUUCAUUUCUUUUCUUGUUAUUUAAUUAAUUUGAUUUCUUGGCCACAAUUCGGAUGGUUAAUUUGCAGGCCUACAUUCUAUCGAGUUUACAAGAAGAAAUCGACUGAAGGAUUUCAAUCCAUACCAUAUAUCAUCGCACUGUUCAGCUCUAUGCUAUGGAUAUAUUACGCAAUCCUCAAACCUGAUGCUUCUCUCCUCAUCACCAUCAAUUCGAUCGGAUGCGCGAUCGAAGCGAUAUACAUCAUCACUUAUCUUGUUUUCGCACCAAAGAAUGUUAAGGUAAGUGAUAUGAAGAGAAGCAUAUCUCUUCAAGUUAUUGCAAAAAUCAUGAAAUUUCAAUACAAAUUUGGGGAGUAUAUAUAUAUUUUCUUUGGAAUUACAGAUCUUUACGGCAAAAAUACUGUUACUUUUGAUUGUUGGGGCGUACGGUACGAUUCUUCUGCUCACACUCUUGCUAUCGAAAGACUCUAGUCGUGUUCACCUUGUUGGUUGGAUCUGCAUGGGAUUCUCUGUGACCGUCUUCGUAGCUCCCCUAAGUAUCAUGGUGAGUAAGAAAAUUUAAUGAGGAUAUGUAAAUGAAGUUAUGUUGGUUUUUAUUUUUUUUGAAUAAUCACAUUGAUUAGAUCAAUAUUUGAUUUUUACAGAGGCUCGUGAUACGUACAAAAAGCGUUGAAUUCAUGCCUUUCUCGCUAUCGUUUUUCCUCACGUUGAGCGCUGUUGUUUGGUUCUUUUACGGUUUAUUGACAAAGGACAUAUAUGUCGCAGUAAUGACCUAAUAAUCAAUCGAUCACUUCUUUUCUUGUCUUACAUUUCGUUAUUUUUCUCCAAAUACAAUCUCUUGAUGACUUAUUCUUGAUCAAUUGUGUAGCUUCCAAAUGUAUUGGGGUUUCUAUUUGGGAUCAUGCAAAUGGUGCUCUACGUAGCGUAUAAGGACGUGAAACCAAUCACUCAAGAGUACAAGUUGCCCGAGAAGGGAUUGGGGGUCCAUCCGGUUGAUUCGAAGCCAUCGAAGAUCGAAAAUAAAGAUCACCACAUUGUUAUUGAAGGAGAUCCAAAGAUGCUCGACGGUACCGAGGGCGACAACAGGAAAGAAACUCAAGAGGGGAAUAAGAUGAGCCAUGUUGAGGUUUGAUACAUAGAACAUGCAAACAUGCGCACGCGCGCGCGCGCACGAGAGAGAAAGAGAGAGAGAGAGAGAGAGAGAGAGAGAAAGAGAGAGAGAGAGUUAUGUAGCACUUACCUUUGAUAAUACAUAUGGUUCUAUUAUUAGUAUUAAUUAUUUGUUCUUUGUAGACAGGAAGGGUGCAAUUUCCUUUUUCAACUAUUGGUAUGUAUCUUAUUUCACAUUUGUUUCAUGGUGAAUAAAAGCAAAAGUAGAACCUAAAACAAAGAAAAACAUGUAGUGUAUAUAUAUAGGUUUCAUUCCCUUGGUUUAAAAAUUAGCUCUUUUACCUCACAAUAUAUAUAGAGAAAACUUAGAAUUGUAAUGUUAAAAAGAAAAAUGCAAAUGAUACAUUAGUUAACAAACGAAUCAUCACCGACCGUCCCUAGAGCAACUGAGCAAAUGACAAAGGACUUGGUGAUUGAUACCCGAGACCCAAGUUCGAAUCCUAGUUGAUUCACAUUUCCAGCUAAGUUUAUUUCUAAAUGAAAUAAACGAAGCGGGUAGCGUGCUACCUAUCUCUCAAAAAAAAAAGAAAAGAAAAAACAAACGAAUCAUUGUACUAAUCAAAAGGUACAUUGUUACGUGUCAUACCUCGUAUUUAAAGAGUUGCCAUCUUUUUCUUUGUUAGCGAUAUAUCAGUAUUUGUCGUUUAAUACAUUGGUUCGUAAACGAAUAAUCACCGUACUUACCAAAAGGCAAACUAUUACAGAUGCCAUACGUGGCAUUCAAAUAAUCAUCAUCUUUUUCUCCAUCACUUAUCUAUAUUUGUCGUUAAUUAGCGUAUAGUACGUGAGAUUUAUUUCGUGUAAGAUUAUUCAACACUCACACUCCCAAGUACAAGUACGAGUUGAAAUAAAUGAUUCUUAACUUCUCUUUUCGUAUAUAAUGAUUUGUUUUGAAUGUUAUUGAGCUACUCCAACCUUCUAAGCUCUAAUUUAGAGAUUCAUGAAAUUAUUUGUGAAAAAGAUAAAAAAUUAAGCUACAAAGAAUUCUAUCAAACAUGUUUUAUAGUAAGUAAUAUUUGACGAUGAUUAGGGAAGCAUGUAAGUCGAUAAAAUUUUUUCUCUUUUUUCUCUGUUUGAGCCUUCGACUUCUCAGAUAAUAAUAACAAUAAUAAUAAGGUUUCAUAAUUGUAUGAACUUCUCAAGUACGAGUUGAAAUAAAUGACCUUUAAUUUUUUUUUCGUAUAUAAUAGUUUGUUUUGAAUGCUAUUGAGCUACUCCAACCUUUAUAAGCUCUAAUUUAGAGAUCCACGAAAUUAUUUGUGAAAAAGAUAAAAAAAUAAGCUACAAACACUACAAUAGAAACGAUGUAUAAUAAUAUUUUUAAAUAUCGGUACAGAUUAAAAAAGUGUUACUGGCUAAAUUACCGAUAUUUUUUAAAAGUAUUGCUAUAUGUGGGUAGCUAUAUAUAGGGCCGCUUUGAUGUUUGGUAUUCAUUUCUCUAGCGACCUGUGGCAGAGUGACACGUGACGAUCGUAAUCCUCUAUAGUCCAUGCGAGAUCCUUGCAGCCGAACUCCAGCUGUAAUUGGAACCCUUCAUCGUCGGCUGCGGCGGCAGAGGAGGAGAAAGGAAGAUGAUGAUCAUUUUUUUUUUCUUUUCUAUUUGUAAUCAGGCCGAGUGGGCUGGAUGAGAUUGGUUGAGUAGAGAAACUUUUUAUUUUUGUUUGGAUUGGGCUUUAUAUUUAUGUCUUAGUAGAUUUUUUUUAAAUUUUUUGGCAUAAAUCGGAUACUUUUGACACUUAUACAAAAAUAUCCAAAAAAUAUGUUUCUAUAUCUAAUUCUAUUGUAGUGAAAGAAUUUUAUCAAACAUGUUUCACCACAAAACCCAUUUAUUGCCGUCAGAUAUCACAAGUAUUGGUUCGAGAUUCGUAGUAAGUAAUAUUUGACAAUGAUUAAGGAAGCAUGUAAGUCGAUAAAAUUUUUUUCUUUGUUUAAGCCUCUGACUUCUCAGAAUAAUAAUAACUAGUGUAGCAGCCCACACGUUGCGGCGGGUAGAUAUUACUAAAAUAAAUUUAAUAUCUAACUAAUAUAUCAAAAGUUUGCUAUUAUUUUAAAAAUCAAAAUAGUCUAAAUAUAUUGGCUUUUUUGCAAAAAUAUAUUAAUUUGUUGAAGCAGAUUAGUAACAAAAUGCCCAUAAAAAGAUAAUAAGUAUGUCAACCUAUUGAGCCGAAAAGCGACAUACUAUUUGGGAGAGAUUUAGAUAAAAAAUUCAAUAAAAAUUAACAUUUUAUAAAUCAAAUCAAAACAAUCAAAGGGUUAAAUUUUUUUGUAUAAGUUAUAUAUUUAUCUCUUCAUUUUCUAAAUAAGGUAUGAUACUUAUCUCUUCAAGAAAAUGAAGACUGUUUAAAUCAUAUAUCAAUCUAAUUUUGUAAAUAUUUUUAUAUUAGUUAAUAAAAAGAGUCGUGGAAGUAAAAAAGCAUAUGAAAAGUUAUAUACUAAAUAUUUAAGAGACAAAAAGAUAUACAACCUAACACAAUCUAAUACAGCAAAUAUAAUACAAAAUUUUACUUUCGAAAAAAAAUAUAAAGAACAAAGGAUAGAAAAAAAAAGUAAUAAAUCUUUAACACAACAAAUAUAUCGGGUCGAAUACCAUGCAAAUAAAAAAAAACUUGAAAAAACUAAAUAAAGUUAUCUAAGAAAUUUCAGCGCUACAAUAUAAAGAAUAUAUAAAUCUUUUAAAAGAACUCCUGAAAUUUGAAGAAAUGCUCGAUUUGAUGAAGAUGACAGCGCCAAGCUCGGUGAUGCAGCGUGCAAACUCAUACUCCGUCCAUAGAACGUGCUCGAUCUUGGCCUCGGAGCUCAUGGAGGAGGAAGAGAAAGUAGAGAAGGAGAGAAGAGGGCUUUUCAUGAGUUUCUACGAUUUACGGUUUAGAUUAAGGUUAAAAUGCGUGGACCAUUAAUUAGACGUUAUGUGCGGAGAAAAGACGAAGGGUUGGGUUAAGGUGGGUGGACCAUUAAUUAGACGUUAUGGGUGGAGGGAAGCGAAGACAUUAUGGGUGGAGAGAAAGCGAAGAGUUGGGUUAAGGUGGGUGAACUAUUAAUUAAACGUUAUGAGUGGGGGAAGGCGAAGGGUUGGUUUCGCAAUGUGAAACCUAAAACUAAAGGAAACACAGCCACAUGGCAUUUUUUUGAGGAUUAAUGUAUAAGUAUAGGUAUAGAUAAUAAUAAUAAAUAAAAAUAAGGGUACAUAAUUUUAUGGACUUUCCAAGUACGAGCUGAAAUAAAUGACCCUUAACUUCUCUUCUCGUAUAAAAUAGUUUGUUUUGAAUGCUAUCGGGCUACUCCAACCUUUAGGGAUCCAUGAAAUUAUUUGUGAAAAAAAAAAGGCCAAUUUGCAUAAAAAAUCUAUUAGUUUUGAGUUUUUGCAAAAGUAAGCCGUCUUUUUGAAUUUUGCAGAUUCGGGCCGAACUUUUAGAAGAAUGACAAACUACCCCUCUUUCAAAAUACAUAAAAAUUAUAUGCUUUAAAUGUCUAGAAAAAUACAAGUGCUAAGCCAUUGAGUGUAAAAUUUUUUGAAAAUGAUAAUUCCUAAGGCAUAACUAUAUGUACUUUUCUCGUGAAACGAGAAAUCUCAUUCAAAACAAAAUAAAAAGAAUAAAGAAUAAUUAAUAAGAUAAAAAAGUGCAACAUCCUUUCAAAUAGUGCAAUAUCUGUAUAAGUAGUGCAACAUAUGUAUUAUUAAUACAUAUUUUUACAUGAUUUUUACACUAAAUUACGUACAGUUUAGUAUAUUACUCGAAAAUAAUAUAAUAUAUUAAAACAUACUAUAAAAAUUAUACAAUAUAUAUACAAACAGUACAUAUUUUAUACUAUUUGUACAGAUGUUUACACCAUUUGUAUAAACGUUGCAUUAUUAUGAGAGAAUGUUGCACUAUUUAGAUGUGUAUUGCACACUUUCUUUUUAAAAAUUAAAUUUUAUUGCAUAUUAAAUAUAGUGUCAAAUUUCUUUAAAAUGACAACUGGUAAGCCAUAAUUAUAUGUAUCUUUCUCGUGAAACGAGAAUCCUCAUUCAAAACAAAAUAAAAAGAAUAAAUAAUAAUAAAUAAGAUGAAAAAGUGCAGCAUUCUCUCAAAUAGUGCAAAGAUACUCUUCCAAAUAGUGCAAUAUCUUAUAAGUAGUACAACAUAUGCAUUGUUAAUACACAUUUUCAUGAUUUUUACACUAAAUUAUAUACAGUUUAGUAUAUUACAAAAAAAUAAUAUAAUAUACUACAAUAUAUUAUAAAAAUUAUACAACAUAUGUACAAACGGUGCAUAUUUUAUACUAUUUGUAUAGAUAUUUACACCAUUUGUAUAAACGUUGCAUUAUUAUGAGAGAAUGUUGCAUCAUUUAGAUGUGUGUUGCACUCUUUCUUUUUAAAAAUUAAUUUUCAUUGCAUAUUAAAUAAAGUGUCAAUUUUUUGGAAAUGACAAUUGCUUAGUCAUAAUUACAUGUACCUUUCUCGUGAAACGAGAAACCUCAUUUAAGACAAAAUAAAAAAAAUAAAAAAUAAUUAAUAAGAAGAAAGAGUGCAACAUCCUCUCAAAUAGUGUAACAUGCGCUUCCAAAUAGUGCAACAUCUGUAUAAUAGUGUAACAUAUGUAUUAUUAAGACACAUUUUGCAUGAUUUUUACACUAAAUUACGUACAGUUUAGUAUAUUACACAAAACUAAUAUAAUAUAUUAUGCGUAAUAUAACUACAUUUUGUAAUAUAUUAUAUUAUUUCUGCGUAAUAAACUAAACUGCACGUAAUUUUGUAUAAAAAUCAUUCAAAAUAUGUAUUAACAAUAUAUAUGUUGCACUACUUAUACAGAUAUUGCACUAUUUGGAAGAGCAUGCUGCACUAUUUAAUCUUAUUAAUUAUUUUUUAUUCUUUCUUUUUGUCUUGAAUGAGAAUUCUCGUUUCACGAGAAUUGUACAUUUAAUUAUGGCUUAGCAGUUGUCAUUUUUAAAAAUUUUGACACUUUAUUUAAUAUUUAAUAAAUUUUUUUUUCAAAAAAUGAGUACAAUACACAUCUAAAUGGUGCAAUAUCCUCUCAUAAUAGUGCAAUAUUUACACAAAUGGUAUAAAUAUCUGUACAAAUAGUGUAAAAUAUGCACCGUUUGUACAUAUAUUGUAUAAUUUUUAUAGUAUGUUGUAAUAUAUUAUACUAUUUUCGCGUAAUAUACAAAACUGUGCGUAAUUUAGUGUAAAAAUCAUGCAAAAUGUGUAUUAAUAAUAUAUAUGUUGCACUACUUAUGCGGAUAUUACAUUAUUUGGAAGAGCAUGUUGCACUAUUUGAAAGGAUGUUGCGCUCUUUCAUCUUAUUAAUUAUUUUUUAUUCUUUUUAUUUUAUCUUGAAUGAGGUUUUUCGUUUUACAAGAAAGGUAUAUGUAAUUAUGGCUUAACAGUUGUCAUUUUUAAAAAAUUUGGCACUUUAUUUAAUAUGCAAUGAAAUUUAAUUUUCAAAAAGAAAGAGUGCAAUAUACAUCUAAAUGGUGCAACAUCCUUUAAUAAUAGUGCAAUAUUUACACAAAUGGUGUAAAUAUCUGUACGAAUAGUAUAAAAUAUGUACCGUUUAUACAUAUAUUGUAUAAUUUUUAUUGUAUGUUGUAAUAUAUUAUAUUAGUUUGCGCAAUAUAUUAAACUGUACGUAAUAUAUUGAAAAGUUCUCGACUUUUCGAUUUACCCCUCUUAGAAGGCUAAUAUUGAAAAUACCCUCUUUACGUUCCAACCUAUUUCUAAUAUACCCCUAGAGUUAAAAUCUGUUAAUUAACUCUGUUAACUAUGUAAAAUUACUAUUUUGCCCUUUCAAAUAUAUCCUUCCACCGUCAGUGACUUUUUUAUUUGCCCUUAAAGUCUGGGGCACAAAAAGUAUUUUGACUUUUGGUCUUUUCCAAUAUACCCAUCUACCGUCACCAACAUUUUUUAUUUGCCUUUAAGUUAAGGGCAAAAUUGACAUUUUAAUUUUUUUUAACUGUGGUAGAUGUUUAAUUCACGUUUAACCCAAGUUAACUUAACAGGAGAUAACUGCGAAGGUAUUUUGCAAUAACGGUGGAACAUAUGAGGGGUAUUUUAGAAAGAAAAAAAAAAGUAGGGGUAAAUCGGAUAUUUUCAAACGUAUAAGGGGUAUAUAGGCAAUUAUUCCUAAUUUUUAUAUAUUUUGAAAGAGAGGUAGUUUGGUCAUUCUUCUGAAAAUUCGGUCCGAAUCUGUAAAAUUCAAAAAGACGGUAUAUUUUUGCAAAAGCUGAAAACUAAUAAAUUUUUUAUGUAAAUUGGCCAAAAAAAAAUUAAACUACAAAGAAUUCUAUCAAACAAGUUUCAUCACGAAACCCAUUUAUAUUGUCAGAUAUCGCAAGUAUUGCUUCGAGAUUCAUAGUAAGUAAUAUUUGACGGUGAUCAAGGAAGCAUGUAAGUCGAUAAAUUUUUUUCUCUUUUUUCUCUGUUCAAAUCUCCCACUUUUCAUAAUAAUAAUAAUAAUAAUAAUAAUAAUAAUAAUAAAUAAGAAAUCUAUAGUAUAUAGGGAAAACUUCAAAAACCCCUCGUAGUUUUGUAGUUUCUCAUUUUGCCCCCCUGUAGUUUACAAUGUAUCAAUUUGCCCCUCUGUGGUUUCUUUUUUCUCUUUUUCUUAUCAAUUUUAUUAUUUUUUUUCUUAAAUCAGUGAUAAAGUUAAAAUUAAAUGAUACUAAUGUGAAUAUUUGAUAAAUCUAGAUGGAUAUCUGAAGUUUUUUAUAUAUAAUUUAAUAAAAUAUUAACGAAAAAGCUACUGAAAAGAAAAAACGAAACCACAGGGGGGCAAUUUGAUACAUUUUAAACUAUAGGGGGUAAAGUGAGAAACUAUGAAACCACGGGGAGUUUUUUGAAGUUUUCCCCUUAAUAUAUGAUUAAAAAAAUUUAUAAUUUUUUUAAUUCAAUCUAAAAUUUUAUUUAUUUUUAUAAAAAUUUAAAAUAUAUAAAUAAUUUUUAAAUAAGUUAAAUUACUUGUAUUAAAUAUAAAUUUGAAUUAAACUGAAUAAAAGAAUUAUUAAAAAUAUAUAAAAACUAAGGAAGGAAAUUUAAAAAUGAAACAUAAAAAAAUAAAAAAAAUAAAAAUAAAUAAGGAUAAGAUAAAUAAAAGAAGAAUAGAGGCAAAAAUGUAAGAACAAUAAAUUAUUUUUUCUAAAAAUUAUAUAUAAUUAUAAUAAUAAUUAUAAUAUAUAUAAUUAUAAAUAUAAUUAUAUAUAAUUUCUUAUUAGUAUGAUUUUUGCCUUUAUUUUUUUAAUAUUCUUUAUAAUUUAUUUUUAUAUUUUUAUUACAGCAAUAUUUGUUUAUUUUUUAGUUAUUUUUUUAUAUCAUUUUUUGACUUUUUUUUUACUAUUAUUUAUUUUAUUUAUAUAUUUAUUUUUACACAAUUAUUUCGCUGCAACACGCUAGUCCUUCACUAGUAAAUAAUAAAAACACAAGGUUUCAUAAUUUUAUGGGCUUCUCAGCAGAGCCCACUUUGGCCCACAAACCAUAUUUGAGGAGAGAGAAAGAGCUUAGAGAGAGAGAGAGAGAGAGCUGUGUUGCUCUCCCAUGUAUCGUUGCUAUCGUGCGCUUGUGCCCAGGGGGCGCACGCUAGCGACCCGACGCUUUCUCUCCGACUCACUGGAAUUAGGGUUAGGGUUUCCGAAGCCGAGCCUCCCCGGGAUCGAGCCCUCCCCCGGCGCCGACACGCUCGCGGCGCUCCUCCUCCGGCACCACAACCCCUUCCACCCGCUCGAGUCCCCGCUCGAGCUCGUCGCCCUCGGCGGCGGCGCCGCCCUCUCCCCCGCCCUCGUCGUCCAGACCCUCCUCCGCCUCCGCCACGCCUCCAAGGUCGCCCUCGCCUUCUUCGUCUCCGUCCGCGACCACGUCCACCACCACCGUUGCAAUGGCGGCGCCCAACCCCUCCUCGGCCCCGCCGCGUACGACGCCAUGGUCGACAUCCUCGGCCGCGUGCGCCAGUUCGACGUCGCGUGGCAGCUCAUCGUCGAGAUGGGCUGCGGCGGCGGCGGCGGCGGCGGCGGCGAUGUGGGGCCCACGCCGAGGACGUUCGCGGUGCUGGUGAGGAGGUACGUGGCGGCGGGGAUGACGCGGCAGGCGAUCCGGUCCUUCGACGACAUGGAGGCGUUCGUCGGGAGGGAGCCGGGCUCGGCGGAGUUCCAGAUGCUUCUGGACACCCUCUGCAAGUAUGGGCACGCAAAGGUAUCGCCUUUAUUGCGAACUUUUCCUUUUCCUUUUCCCAUGGCUCUAUUGAUUAGCUCUUCUGAUACAAUUGCUUCCUUACUUGCUUUGUAACAGGGAGUUUUAUUUGAUUAGAUUUGUUUGAUUUUGGGAUGCUCCAUUUCUUUAUAAAUGUUGAUUAUAAUGCAUGGUUAUACUGGUGAAUGAGAAGUUUGCAAUUUCGCGACGGCGAAUAGUGUAAAAUUCAUUUUUUGUGGCAAUUUGUGUGUACUGUUUGUUUUAUAUGUCUUUGUUAGAUUGGUGAUAUAGAUUACAGUCACUCAGGUUUUGCAUGGGAAAUCAUUGUGGUGUUCAUGAGUACUAAUUCUUUUUUCAAAUUUAAGAAUCGAGCAUUCCUCAAAAGUUUCGGAAUUUGGAUUGCACCACAGGUUGCACACUUCUUCUUUUUUUUUUAUAGAUUUAAGAGGCAACGACGGACUUUAAACUCAAUAAACUGAGUUAUCUUGAAGCUUUGCAAAUCCGUUUACGGAGCACAUGUUUUGCAGUAAGAUGAUUUUACCAUCUCCAACACUUGUUCAUCUAAUUAUGCUGAACGCUCUUACAGCGUUCGUUUCUUUUCCUUAUUUUACAUUAUGAGUGAAUGAUUGGGUUAUUCAGCUGAUCUUGUUUCAAUCCUGAGGUAUUCACUGGUUGGAGUAUUUUGAUGAUCAUUGCAGGUUGCAACAGAGAUAUUCAACAAGAGAAAAUCCAAGUACGAACCCGACGAGAAGACGUACUCGAUCUUGAUUUAUGGAUGGUGCAAGGUAAACCAGCUUGAAAUGGCCCAAAAGUUCCUAAAAGAAAUGACCGAUCGUGGGGUAGAACCGAAUAUAGUUACAUAUAACAUCCUGCUGAAUGGGAUUUGCAGGCACGCGAGCUUGCACCCGGAAAAUCGCUUCGACAGAACAAUCCGUGCUGCUGAGGACCUUUUGAAGGAAAUGGGGUCUAGGGGGAUUGAACCCGAUGUGACGAGCUACUCUAUCAUUCUACAUGUUUAUAGCCGGGCCCACAAACCCGAGCUCUGUCUUCAUAUGUUCCGGUCAAUGAGAGAGAAAGGCAUUUGCCCCACUGUGGCGACGUACACCUCGGUAGUUAAAUGUCUGGCUUCUUGUGGGAGAUUAGAAGCUGCAGAAAAAUUACUCGAUGAAAUGUCUAGCAAUGGAGUGUGCCCAUCCCCCGCCACUUAUAAUUGCUUCUUUAAGGAAUAUAGAGGGAGAAAUGAUUGGGAAGGCGCAAUGAAUUUGUACAAGAAAAUGAAGGAAUCGGGCUCGUUAAGCAAGCCCGAUAUUCACACGUACAAUAUAUUACUUGGAAUGUUCUCGAAGUUGGAUCGAUUAGGAACUGUUCGGGAAUUGUGGAGUGAUAUGAGUGAGAGUGGUGUUGGGCCGGAUUUGGAUUCGUACACUUUGCUCAUCCAUGGGCUUUGCGAGAAGAAUAAGUGGAGAGAAGCGUGCCAGUUCUUUAUGGAGAUGAUAGAGAAAGGGUUUCUCCCGCAGAAGGUUACAUUCGAGACUCUUUAUCGAGGAUUGAUUCAAGCUGAUAUGUUGAGGACUUGGAGGAGAUUGAAGAAGAAGGUUGAUGAAGAAUCAUUGAAAUUUGGUGCUGAGUUUGAGCAUUAUCAUUUUAAACCGUAUAAGAGAUGAUUUUAGUUGUGGGCUUGAAUUUUGUAAAUACGUGAUUGGGAAGAUGAGGCUUUUUUCUUAGGGCUGAUUUUACAUGGCAAAAUGCAAAAAAGAUUGAAAACAGUUUGGAAGUGGUAUCAUAAUUAUAGGUGCUGUAAGGCAUCAUGCUUAAAGAUGAUUAUUUUGAUACAAUCCAACAACUCUGCAGCUUGUUAUCUGUCUGCGUAAGUGCUCUGGGACAGGUCAGUUUGAAGAAGCCCUAAUAGCUUUUCUGUCAAAAUCAUUGUGGCAUCUUUCGACUGUAGCUAGAAGCAGAAAUUCCGAAGCGGCUCCUGAUUUAGUGGCUCAAAAGCUCAUGUUGCACAUUCCUCUCCAACCAAAAGCUCAACACCGUUUGUUUGGCAAACAUUCAUCUUCUACUUCUAUAGUUAAGAAGCUCUUCUUGAAGGCGUGAAAAAAAAAGGUUUGUCAGUGCUGUCGUCAGCAAUGUACGUAUGUUCUCUUACCAAGUGCUUGAGAAAUCUUUCUUUAAAGUUUUUCUUAGUCUUACUAUUUAUGAUUGUUUCAACCAUAUAUUUCUAUGUUUUCUACAUUGGUUAACAAGUUAAGGUCUUUUAUUCGUAGUUCGGUGGAUAUAUUUUUAUAAAUGGUUUGGUGAGUGUGAGAUGCUACCAAAGAAUAAUAUAUUGUGUUGUAUCUUUGGACUAGCUCGCUUAGCUUAAGCGAGCUUACUAAACAAGUAAAAUAUUUGAAUCGAGCCAUAAUUGAGUAAUUGAUCUCGUCGUGUAUGCUAUUGAGUUUCUUUGGUUAUGUUCUCUGUCCCCUUUUCGGAAGUUAAGGCCUUGUUUGGUACUACUUUAGUCAAUGUUUUUCUUAGCUCAGAUUGUAUGCUGUUGAUCUCAAUUCGAAUAAGCUUUUGUUCAUUAGCUAACAACAAGCCUAGUGUAAACCUUCUUUGUGCUGAAGUACUUUUAUGUUGGACUUGUCUCAGUUACUUUUGAAUUGCCCUCAUCAUUUGAAACUGUUUUGGGAAUUAACCAAGAGAAUUUGGUGGCUUAGAGGAUGAUAAACUGGGGAGAUGAAGGAAGAUAAACAUUAUUUUAUGACUCCAAAUACCCGAUUAGUAUAAUUUCCUACAGUUGCCGGACAUUGUUGGAAUUAGAGGGCAGCGAAAAUUUACAAACUAGAUAGCCGACGUAUCUAGUAACUAAAAUUAGAUCGGGUUGCUUGUUUUACUAGCUAGAUAUUAAAUUCAAUCAAACAAACAUCGAAUAACUAUACAUUUGUGCUUACAUUUGAUGAAUUGAUGCAGGGAGUAUAUAUUUGAAUAUUUCAUUGUCGUAAUUCUGGAAUUUUAAAUGAUUCACUACCUAAGCUAGUGGAAUAUCUUUAUAGAUGAUAGAGACAUGUUUGCUUUUAAAGCAUACACACAUGGAAUGCAACUUAGUUGCAUUGUGUUUUGAAUGAUGCUUCAUUCAAAACAGCUGACUCACACAACUAGUGCCUUGUUGUUACUUUAAAUAUUUGCUAUUUCUGCUUGAUUUUCAUUUGAGAAGAUUGAGAAAGUUGGAAAGUAAUAAACUGCAUAGUUUUAUGAGAAAUUGGAGAAAAUCAAAACAUUUUCCUUUGAUGGUAAUUAGAAGUUCUCAUUAGAAGAAAAUCUGGAAUUAGAUACACUUCAAAAGUGACAUUGAGAAUAAGUCUUGAAGUAGUCUUCCGUUUAUAAAGAAUAUAUUUCUAAUUGAUUUUUUUAAUCCUAAGAGAAAUAAAAAUAGCAAUUUUUACUAUAAACGUGAUUCACCAGCAGAUGCAGCGUGAAUAGAAUUUAAAGUGAAUAGAAUUCAAAGAAAGAUGUUUGGUAAAAUAAUUUAAUAGUCAUAAUGAAAGAACAGUCUAUAUCUCUGAAAUUGAGACCACCCUUACAAUGAAGGGUUAAUAGAAUGCAAUUAAUUGCAUUUUGUUCUGAUUUAAUAGUUGUAGUGAAAUAAUAAUUUAUAUCUUUAAAAUUGAGAUAGGUAGAAUUAAGGGUGAAUAGAAUGUAUUUUAUUUUGAUUUUGUAAUAUUAUUUUUGUAAUGUUAUUGUGAAUUUCACAUUUAAUAAAAUCAUGAGAAGAAAGAAUAUUUUUAGCCUUAAAUUUUUUGCCUUAGAACUAAUUUAAUAGUAUUACUAUAACUUAGUAUUUUCAUUGAAACGUUAUAACUGAGGAAAAGAUAAUGCAAUCGGCAAAUAUAAAUAUAGACAGAUAGUUAGACUACUAUACUCUUGUUAGAUUUUUGAUGAUGGAGCUUCUACAUUGAAAUUCAUAUUGUUAAACAGAAAGUACUCCAUCAUCGAAAAUAAAUUUUAUAAUUUUUCGAUAUUAUUCACCGUUAUGAUCGAAAACGACUUAAUAGUACGGGGCUACUAUGCUCUUAUGAGUAUAGAGCUUUUUGUACUCAUAAGUUAUUUUUGUUGAUGGAGUUUUCUAAUUAGCGAUCCACUCUGUUAAAUAUAAUCUAGAGUAUUUGAAACUUCUAAAAAAUAAAUUUUGUAACUUUUCGAAAUUAUAAUAAAGUCUAUCAAGCAGGCAUAAAAUGAACAAUAAAAAUCGAACGACGUUUUAAAAAUAGAUAAUCGAAUCCUUCAAUUUAAGAUCGGAGUUAUUAAUCUUUAUCCAGCUAGUUAAUAAAAUUUUUUUAUUAAAAAUUCAAUCUAUUCUAAUUCUUUUACACUGUUAAACUAGCAAGUAUUCCAAACCGACCAUUGAAAAUUAUCAAUUUUGUGACAUUUUGAUCGUAAGAUAAAUGAUGUCGAAAAAUAAUGAAAUUUGAUUUCUAGAAGUUUUAAAUGUUCUAAAUAAUGUUUAACGGUAUGAAUUGUCGAUUCGGAAAUUCUAUCACCGAAAGCAACUUAUGAGUACGAGUGUGAUUGUAUUUAUAAGAAUAUAGUAGCCGGACUAUAUAUAUAUAUAUAUAUAUAUAUAUAUAUAUAUAUAGUGUCCGGCUAUUAUACUUUUAUGAGUAUGAUCGCUCUCAUACUCAUAAAUCAUUUUCGAUGAUAGAGCUUCCGAAUCAACGAUCCAUACCGUUAAACAUUAUUUACAGCAUUUAAAACUUCUAGAAAUCAAAUUUUAUAAUUUUUCGACAUUAUUUACCUUACGAUCAAGAGGUCACAAAUUUGACAAUUUUUAAUAGCUGGUAUGGGAUAUUUGCUAGUUUAACAGUGUAAAAGAAUCGAAAUUUGUUGAAUUUUUGAUAGAAUUUUUGAUAGAAAAUUCUAUUCAUUACCUAGAUAAAGAUCAAUAACUCUGAUCUUUGAAUUGAAGGAUCCGAUCAUCUUUUUUUAGGAUGUCGUUCGAUUUUGACCGUUCAUUUUAUGCCCGCUUGAUGAACUUUAUUAUGAUUUCGAAAAUUUACGAAAAUACUCUGGAUCAUAUUUAACGAAGUGGAUCGUCGAUUCGGAAGCUCCAUCAUUGAAAAAAACUUAUGAGUACGAGAGCUCCAAUACUCAUAAUAGUAUAGUAGCCUCGGCCAUAUAUAUAUAUAUAUAUAUAUAGGCUACAAAGAAUAUGUAGGCCGCUAAGAAUCGGCUACUAAGAAUAUUCCGAUUAUCAAUUUGAAGUUUCGAUCAUUCAUAUCGACUUGAUAGGACAAUGCCCUCAAUCCUAUUAAUAGUAUAGUAGCCGGACUCUAUAGAGCUAGGCUACUAUACUAUCGGUAGCACGGAGCGCUCCGUGCUACCAAGUUGUUUUCGAUGAUGUGGCUUUCAAAUCGACGAUCGGCUCCGUUAGAGUUGAUCUACACUAUUGAAAGUAUUUAGAAAGUAAAUUUCAUAAUUUUUCGAUAUCAUUUACCUAUCAAACAAGUAGUCUAAAAUUGAACGGCUGAAAAUAAAAAUCUCAUAAAAAAUGAUGAUAAAAGAUUUAAAUUCAAGAUCAGAUAUACUGAUCUUACUCUAAAUAGUGAAAAGAAUUUUCUAUAAAAUUUUCAUCGCAUUUGAAUUGUUUUACACCGUUAAACUCACAAACACACUACAUCGGUCAUUAAAAUUGUCAAUUUUGAGAUCUUUUGAUCACUAGUCAAAUGAUGUCGAAAAAAUUUAAAAUUUAGUUUCCAAAUACUUUCAAUAAUGUAGAUUAAGUCUAACGGAGCCGAUCGUCGAUUUGGAAGCCGCAUCAUCGAAAGCAACUUGGUAGCACGGAGCGCUCCGUGCUACCGAUAGCAUAGUAGCCGG